UUUUUUUCUUUUUUCUUUUUUGUUUGUUUGUUUGUUUUACUUUUAAUAACAUGCUAUUAUAAUCAUCAAAAUAUUAUGCAUGCCCUUCCCUUGAAUCGCUCACCCCAAGUCCCAACACGUUUUCCAUAAAACACUAAUUUAAAUUAAAUUCUAACUUCAUCAUCAACCAAGUGAUAUAUAUUUUAAAUUUAUGUUUAAUAAUUAUAAUAAAUUUAUUUAAUUUGAUAUAUUUUGUACAUCUCAUUUUAACGGUUGCCUUAACUCCUUUUUUUUUUGGUUAAUUAACUUUGAUUAAUCACCAACUGAAAUAUUUACAAAGCAAAGAGUUUCUAGUGUCUUUGGCCGUUCCUUACCACUGAAUCAUCAAUCAGUUUUAUUAAAUGGUUUAAUGUUAUUGGUUUGUCCAAACCUCUUGUUAGCUCCGCCCCCCGCCUACCGGAACCAAGAAAGCUAAACUCAGCUAUACUCUACAUAUACUAAGAUGUUUGGUCACGAAUUAUUUUCAUUUUUUCCUCAACUCCGAAAGACAUAUUUAAUCUUAAAAUUUUGAAAUUUAACUUCAAGUUAAAUUUUAAAACUUUCAAAAAAUUAAAAAAUAAAUUAUUCAAAAUAAACUCUAAUUUUUAAUAUUAUUUUUUACUUUAAAAAUAUUUUUUUUUUUCAAAUUUCACAAUUAAAAAGCAACUCAGCAAUCAAAGGCAAACUCGAUGGCAAAUAUGAUUUGAAUAUUCCAGUCAGCAUUUUGUCAACCAACUUAAGCCAUAUUUCACAGUCAUGUUACGUAUAUUCAUAAGCCAAUUUUGGAUUUAAAGACUUUAAGGUGUAUUAAUAUUACUUUUCAGCUACUUAAAAUAAAAAUGUUGAAAAAAGCUUUAGCUAGAUUCAAAACGUGAUCUCAUGAAUAAUUCCUUCAGGUUGUAUGAAUAACACAAGAACACUUACGUACUUUUUUUUGAAUGUAUGGUUAAUUAUAUUCUAAUUUCUCUCAAUUUUUUAAAAUAUAUACAUAAUUUUUUUUAGAAAUUAACAGUUGCACGUACACCUCCGGUAUGAAUCCGCCUCUCCGUAUACUCUCAUUUACACUUUUUAACAAUACCAUGAAUCUGCCCCCUGUUUCUUCAUAAUCCAAACACUAUAUAAAUCUUCUCAACUCCCUCCAUUUUUCUUACUCACAAAACAAAACAAUUUCUUCAUAAUCGUCUCUCCACGAGAAUUCUGAUUUAUAAAUAAUGGACUUCAAAAUCGGUGCAAUCGACACUUGCAAGCCCAUAAAUGGCGACAUAGCAAAUGUACCAACCAAUAAAGCCGUUACAAUCCAAAACUCCACCAUUCCAUUCAAUUCCCCUGACUCAACACUCGGCCGUCACCUCGCCCGCCGUUUAGUCCAAAUCGGAGUAACCGACGUUUUCUCCGUUCCCGGUGAUUUCAAUUUGACACUUCUCGAUCAUCUCAUUGCUGAACCUGAACUUAACCUUAUAGGUUGUUGUAAUGAGCUAAAUGCCGGUUAUGCAGCUGAUGGAUAUGCUAGGGCACGGGGAAUUGGGGCUUGUGUUGUUACCUUCACCGUCGGUGGAUUAAGUAUUGUUAAUGCAAUUGCUGGUGCUUAUAGUGAAAAUUUACCUUUGAUUUGUAUUGUUGGUGGACCUAAUUCGAAUGAUUAUGGAACUAAUAGAAUCCUUCAUCAUACUAUUGGGUUACAUGAUUUUAGUCAGGAGCUUCGUUGUUUUCAAACUGUUACUUGCUAUCAGGUAGGUUCAUCAAUUUUACUACUCCGAUGGCCUAAUUUAUGUGGCACUGUUGAAAUUUCGAGAUUUAAAUCGUAUGAACCUGUUGUUUGAUUUUGGAGUAUUUUUUUUGUGGGUUUUGCAGGCUGUGUUGAAUAAUUUAGACGAUGCUCAUGAGCUGAUUGAUACUGCAAUUUCCACAUCUUUGAAAGAGAGUAAGCCGGUUUAUAUUAGUGUAGGAUGUAAUUUGCCCGGGAUUCCACACCCUACGUUCAGUCGUGAGCCAGUUCCAUUUUCCCUCUCUCCAAGGUAAAAUAUUAUUUUCUACGUCUAUUCGGAGAAACUAUUUACGUCAAGUAGCUCAUGUUUUGAGCUUGUUACACUUUUAUAUACUCCAGACAUAAUGUUGUAAUAAUAUUGUAUAUUGGACACACAUAUUUUGAAAAUGUUCCCUAAAAUAUAUUCUUUGACCUUUGUUUAUAUUUUUUUAAAAAAAAUUCUGUUCUGAUUGUAGACUCUGUUUUCAUGAUGAAGUCGUUUAUAUGAGUUCGGUCCAAUCUAAUAAUUUUUGUUCAAAUAAGUUUAUUAAAAUAUCAAAAACUUUUAAGUUCAGAAACUAGUUAUUAACACUUGAAAUCGUCCUAUAAAAUUCAUCAGAAUCGUAAGGUUAAAAUUCUGGCUUCGCCUUUGUGUUUAAGUAUCCGAGUUUCUUUUUUUUUUUUUUUUUUUUUUUUUUUUUUUUUUUUUUUUUUUUUUUUUUUUUUUUUUUUUUUUUUUUUUUUUUUUUUGUGGUAUAGAUUAAGUAAUAUGAUAGGCUUGGAAGCAGCAGUGGAAGCAGCGGCUGAGUUCUUGAACAAAGCAGUAAAGCCAGUGCUUGUUGGAGGGCAAAAUAUGCGCGUUGCAAAGGCAUGUGAUGCUUUUGUUGAGCUGGCUGACAGCUGUGGUUAUGCGGUGGCAGUGAUGCCAGCCGCUAAAGGUUUGGUUCCGGAACACCAUCCACAUUUCUUAGGAACUUACUGGGGUGCAGUGAGCACGACCUUCUGUGCUGAAAUUGUUGAAUCUGCUGAUGCGUACUUGUUUGCUGGACCAAUUUUUAACGACUAUAGUUCUGUUGGUUAUUCUCUUCUUCUCAAGAAAGAGAAAGCGAUCAUUGUCCAGCCUGAUCGUGUGACAAUUGGGAACGGACCUGCAUUUGGUUGUGUUCUGAUGAGGGAUUUCCUUUCCGCAUUAGCAAAGAGAUUAAAGCAUAAUCCAACUUCUUAUGAGAAUUAUCAUAGGAUUUAUGUUCCUGAUGGACUUCCUCUCAAAUGUGAGCCUAAGGAGGCAUUAAGGGUUAACGUUCUAUUUCAGCACAUUCAGAAUAUGUUGACUGGUGAGAGUGCUGUGAUUGCUGAGACGGGGGACUCGUGGUUCAACUGUCAGAAGCUGAAAUUGCCACAAGGAUGUGGGUGAGAACAGAACAAAUUAAAUCUACGCAAAUUGCUGUCAUUUUGGUAUUUAUUUCCAUCAUCAUAACAAGUUUUGUUCUUCUUGAUUGUCGUUUUUAGGUAUGAGUUCCAAAUGCAGUAUGGAUCUAUUGGUUGGUCUGUUGGUGCAACUCUUGGUUAUGCACAAGCUGCACCAGAAAAACGGGUGAUUGCCUGCAUCGGUGAUGGUAGCUUUCAGGUAAUUGAAAAUAGAGGAGAAUGAAUUGUUGGCGUUCUCCGGUGUGUCUAAUCCAACUUUAUGGCAAAUGAAAUGUACUUGCAGGUGACUGCUCAAGAUAUUUCAACAAUGCUAAGGUGUGGGCAGAGGACCAUUAUCUUCUUGAUAAACAACGGUGGUUAUACAAUUGAAGUUGAGAUCCAUGAUGGACCUUACAAUGUGAUCAAGAAUUGGAACUACACAGGAUUAGUCGAUGCAAUCCAUAACGGAGAAGGAAAAUGUUGGACAACUAAGGUGAGUGGAAGUUCAAAUUUUCAAUCAUCGCCUUUGUUUUUUACUCUGAACCUUGAAUGAAAGGAUUUAAAUAUAUUGAACGUCUCGAUUGUAUGUAGGUUUAUUGUGAAGAGGAGUUGGUGGAAGCAAUUGAAACAGCAAAUGGAGCAAAGAAAGAUUGUUUGUGUUUCAUUGAAGUGAUUGUCCACAAAGAUGACACUAGCAAAGAGCUGCUUGAAUGGGGUUCUAGGGUCUCAGCAGCUAAUAGUCGUCCACCAAAUCCACAGUAAAAUCUCUACUUGUUCAAAGUUACUGCAAAAUAUUCUUGCAAUUUGGGAGUUGCCACUAUAUGCUGUAAUAUUUUUUUCCCAGUGAGGGGUUGUAUUCCACUAACAUGGAUGGUUGGUGUUGUAUUGUUAUUUUAAAUACGAUGUUUAUUUUCAUUAUUACUUAAAUUCUAUUGUAUCGUAUCGUUUAAAUUCAUCAUUAGGUAACGAUCAACUUGGUGUGAUCGUGUCGUUACCUUAAUAUUUUCCUCUCCUUUUGUCUUUAUUUAUUAUUUAAUAAUUAUAUUUUAUCUUUUAUCCUACAUUUUCAUAAUAGCUCUACCUUGCACCUCGUUUUUCUUGUAGGUUUAUCAUUCAAAUUGUGGAUGUGUGACAUUAUGUAAUGGUGGAAAACGAUACAAUUUAUCCAAAUAUUGUAUUCAUUUAAACAAUAUAAUACGAUACAACAAUAUACAAUACAUUAUGAAACAAUACAUAACAACCAUUCACUCAUACCAUUUUAUGCCUUAGCAUAAAUUAUUUAAUUUUUGAAAUUUUGGGACUGAUUUUCAUUUUUUGGAAUUUUUUUUAAUACGGGUGAAUUUUUUAAAAUCUACUGAUGAUUUUAGAAUUUUAGUUUUUUUUUUUCAAAAAAAAGAAAUUAAUGAUGAAGCUGAAAUUUGAGUUGAUUUCGUGAAGAAUGGAAGAUGUUGAAAAUUUGGGAGUUGUUUAUGUUCUUAAAAAAAGAAGCAAAAAGUGUACAUUUGAUCCAAAAACUCCAAUUGAAAAGUGUUAAACCUUGUUUGGGUGUAAAAAAUGGUUUAGCAAAACUGUAGUUAAAAAAAGGCAUGAAUGAACCUUUUCUUUAACAAUAAUGACAUAUAUGAGCCAAACUUUUAACAGAUGACAUAAAUAAGUUUUUUCUAAAAGUUUGAUGACAUAUUUGAUUUUUUUUCCCUUAAAAAAAUAUAAUACUAUUAUAUAUGAUUUUAGGAGGAAAACAUGGGUUCACGUGAACCCGGUGACCUCUUCUCGGAUACGUUGGCCUUUUGUCGACAAGCAAGAAUCUUGAAUAUUCUGUUCUCCAUGUUAGGGUGGGGGCUGCUAAUGGACUAGUAGAAGCCAACUAAACGAGGACACAUGUCAUAUUAAGGGUGCAUGUAAGACACGCGUAAGUCUUAGAGAAGAAAAUACCUUGACCUACAAGUCUAAAACCAUGAGGAGGUGUAGAUAUUUACUUUUUUUGCUGCCUCAACACUGCCACAAUUUAAUAUUUAAAAAUUAUAAGAAAUUAUUACACUUGUCAUAUAAAUAUGAUUAAUAUAUUAUCUAAAAAUGUUGAUCAGAGAUUCAUAUAAUUUGACUUUAUAAAAGAAGUAUUUUCUCGGUUCAUUUUUAAUUGUCACUGUUUAACUUGAUACAUUUAUUAAGAAAAUAAUUAUUGCUAUAGAUAUUUUAUCAAGCUAUCCUAUUAAAUGAUGUUUAGUACUUCUUCUGUCUCUAAUUACUUGUCUAAUUUUCUUUUUUUAGUUGUCUCUUUUUAUUUGUUCAUUUUGAUAAAUCAAGAAAAGACAAUUUUUUUUUACUUAUUAUAUCCUCAAUUAAUUAAUUUUGAAAAAACUACAACUUCUUGAAAAUUUUAAAUUAUUAAUUCAUCUACUUCAUAAUUAAUAAGGAUAAAAUGAUAAGCUCAUUAUGUCAAUCAUUAUUUUUUUAAUAGGUGUGUCAAUUCAAAAGUGGACAAAUAAUUGGGGACAGAGGGAGUACUACAUCUUAGAGAAUGAUUUGGAGAACAAAUAUUUAAUGCCGUGGGUAAAACAUGAAAAAAAAUAAUUAUUUUAUUUUUUCUUGAUAUGUCAAAAGUGAUAGCUUACGUAAUUUUAUGUCGGUUAAUAGUAGCUCCCACAGUCAGACUCCUCAGUGCAUUUAACCUGAUUUUCAGUUAUACAACAAUAUUCAGUCUCAGCAUGUUAUGUUAGAAAUCAGUACUUGGUUAUUGCAUUCAGUUCAAUUCAUUUCAGUAUAAUUCAAUAUUAUUGUUAUAAUUCAGAUUAUGUCAUUGCUUAGUUAUAUUUUCUUUAGCUUAUAUGUUUGUUCAAUAUUCUAUAUCCUGCAUGCUCAGUACAUUCCAAGUACUGACGCAUACUCUGCGCUACAUCCUUUCAUGAUGUAGGUUCAUGUCCUCAACAUUCAGAUCAUGCGUAGAUCGAUUUCCGAUCUAUACUCAGCAGCAUCAGUGGUGAGUCCUCAUACUUCGAGGACAAUAGACAUGUUUUCUAUUUCAGUCUUUCAUUUCGGUUUCAGUUUUGUUCCCCAGCUAACCCUAGUCAGUAGAGGCCUUUUCAGACAUAGUUUUAGAGUCAGCUUUAGCAUUUGAGUUAUUGUUCAGUAUCGCUAUCAGGGGUGGACCUAAGUGGAGCCUAGGGGGUUCACCCGAACCCCUCGUCGAAAAAUUACACUAUAUAUAUAAGGUAGACUUCUGAUUGUAAGCGUAUAGAUAGUAAAAUGAACCCCUUCAACAACCAAAAGAGGAGCGUGGCUCACUGGGAAGGAGGUUCAUUGCUAAAAUGCAUGUUUUGGGCUUAGAAUACCCAAUAAAAUGCCUCAUUAUUUUUGGAUUCAAUCUAAAAGUAUAUUAUUUUUAACUUUUCUUUUUAUGUUUUAUCUUUUUCUCAAUUUAUCUUUGUUUAAAUUUAUUAGCCACAUUUUUUAUAUUUUUGUCUUUUAUUCUUCUUAUUUAUAUUGCUCAUUUUAUUUCUACAUAACUCUCUUCUCAUGUACUAACUUAAAGAAACUCUUUGAGAAAAUGAUGAAUUGUUAUUAAAUUCAAAAUUGAAUUAGAAUACUAUUAAAUAAAAUAAAGUAAUUAAGAUUAAUUGAAUGAAAAACUUUAAAAGUUGUGAAUAUUCUUUUAAUAAAAUCUAUUUAAUUGAAUUCUUUCUUAAUGUUAUUGUAUCUUUUUAUAUUUUUGUCUUUUAUUCUUCUUAUUUAUAUUGCUCAUUUUAUUUCUACAUAACUCUCUUCUCAUGUACUAACUUAAAGAAACUCUUUGAGAAAAUGAUGAAUUGUUAUUAAAUUUAAAAUUGAAUUAGAAAAUUAUUAUAUAAAAUAAAGUAAAUUAAGAUUAAUCGAAUGGAAAAUUUUAAAAGUUGUGAAUAUUCUUUUAAUAAAAUUUAUUUAAUUGAAUUUUUUCUUAAUUUCACUGUAUCUCUUUCUUACUAUUUUCAAGUCGAUUCUAAAGAGAUUAAAACUAAACUAAACUUAUUUGAUUGGUUCAUAAUUUUUUUUAACAAAUGAUUAACCUAGUAAAUUGAAUUAAAUGAACUAAAAAAAAUCGAUGAUGUUAUUUAUUUAUCUUCAGAAUAUGCACUAUAGUAUUAGUAACUCGAUCUUUACACAUUUCUAAGGAAUCUUGAUGGUUUUUAAAGUAACAUAUGAUUAAAUGUGCACUAAUUCAAAAUUUAGAAAAAAAAUCUAAAAAGUAGAAUACUGCAAAAUAAAAGGAAAGGCACUAGAAAUUUUAAAAGCUCGAUGGACCAGGGUAAAAGUAAGAAGAACCUAAACAUAACAUAACAAUAUAAGUUAAAUUUAGCAAAUUAAAAUUAAAAUUUUCCUCCCAUGUCACUCGGUUUUACAUCUUGUAACUUUUACGUGUUUACUUCUUUGUACUUCGAACCCCCUCAACAAAAAUUCUGGAUCUGCCACUGAUCGCUGUACUCUUAUUCUGUAUUUAUAUAUUCAGACCAGUUUUGGGUAUUCCCCACUAUUAGUUGUAAAUUGAUUUAGCUUCCACAUUAGUUCGUGUUUUCAUAGAUAUAUUCAGUUUACUUAUGAUAUGCCAGCUCAGGAUUAGCUUGGGUUCACUCGUGAUCCUAGGUCCCGUGUUUACUUCAAGGAGAUAGCCUCGAGACGUGACAUGUGGAGUCUCCGAUGAUGGAGAUGCACAGUUUCCAGAAUCUAGUCAUUAACAACGACAACAUUGUUGGUCACAGUAACUUCAAGAUGAUAUUUGUAAAUUUUGACUUCAUAAAUUUUAGCUAUUUCUUGAAAAAAAAGAGUAUUUUUUGUAAAAUAAUUCAUUCAUGAAUUGACGGAUAUAUAUAACAAUUUAGAGACUUCAAACGAACUUCUCCAAAAGCUUCCUAAUUUUUUUUCCCUUAAACCGCGUUGCCAAGAUAUUAAUGAAAAGUUACCUAAAAUGUUAUAUUUACACGGGAUUAAUAUUUUAACUUAAUUUUGGAUAUGCAUUUAUAUUUUAAAAAAAUUAAACACUUUAUGUCAUAUAUACUAUUAAAAUGUUAUAUUUACACCCUCUAUGAGAAUAUAUCCCUAACUAAAUAUAUUAAAAGAUAAAAUUAUAAUUACAAAUAAAAUAUUCUUACAUAUUUAUUUAUUGUGAAAUAGGUAAAACAAAAAUAUAUCCAUGUCAUUGAUUAGCCAUUUAGUAGAAACUAUCUAAUUAUACAAACAAUUCUUCAUAUAGUUUGAAAUAAUUACAUUUUAUAUCAAUAGUUACUAAUUUCAUAUCAGAUUUCAAAUCAAAUACAACUAGAUACAUGCAUUUUGCUACCAUAUACACUGAAAUAGGGAGAGAGGCAAGCUAGAACAAAAGAGGAGGUGAGCAAGAUAUGCUUAUGUAUAUCAGAUAUAUGCGAAUCACACUAAAUACAUGUAUCUGAGAUGCCAGAAUCAUAGGAGAAUGACGAGCGAGAUUUAUCUAAGUAUCUCAAAUAUAUGUGAAUCCACUUAGAUACAAUGAAUAUAGAAUAAAUUACAUCUAAUUUUGCCCUCAUGUAUCCUGUAAUAUAUGUAUCUGAGUUCUAUUUUUUAAUUAAUAAGUAAAUUAAAAAAUGUUGAAACAAGAAUUCUAUGAGUCACUACCCUUAUUAGUAUAAAUAUAUAUUUGUCAUGCUUCUUUUCCUUCCACAGAUUCCUUAUUUACAUCUCAAUUUUUUUUAGUUAUUAUUGAAGAUUAUGUUUGUGCUUAUGAGUUUGAUGUUAUAUUUUUUUAUGCUUUCUAACAAUUAUUAUACAAUCAAUUCUUUUUACUAUUUUACUUUUUGCAUAUUCAUGUUUGAAUCGAAGAAAAAUUCAUGACUUUUGAUCGUAUUUGAGUUGAUCAAUGACGAUAUUCAACAUAUGUAUCAGUUUAUUUUUUAUUUUUUGUGCAUAAUAGAUAUAUAUACAAAGAAAGUCGAAUAAUAUACGUACCAUUUAAAUUUAUUAUUUGCAAUAUAAACAUUGUAUCAAGUACUUUGAGAUAAACAUGCAACGCUCUCCCAGAAACUAGUAAAUAUAAAAUGUUAUAAAGCAUUUUAAAAUAACACUCAUUCAUUAAAAGUAAGAAAAACGAAAAGGUAGGAUUUUAUAGAACUGAAAUUGUGAUGGGCUUGAAAAAUAAUUGGAAAAUGCGAUUUUUAAUAUGAGAAUUUUGAAUUCCAUGGCCAUCUCCAUGGUGGUAAAUGGAGUGACUAGCUCUUGCAGAAUUUACUGCACACAUCCAAUGAAUGUUUUAGAAAAUAAUGAAUUAUCCCCUUGAGCUGUACUAUUGAUCAAUUUCCAUGUCUCUUUUAUCAUGAAAUUGAUGUGUUUUCUUGCAUCUUCUUCAAAACCACCCUUCUCAUUCAUGUAACAUUGAAUCGACUUAGGAACGUCACCUCUUUUCAUUUCAUCCUGAAGUAAUUAAGAUCAGGAACAUAAUCAUCUCAAAUAUACUCUAACUAAUGUUAAUUAUAACUUUCAAUAACAAAUCAAUAUAUAAGCAUGCGUACUGAGGAUGUCCCCAAAUCAUCGUUUAAACGAAUAAUAGUAGCAGACCAUCGAAUAAUAUCAGAACAAUUGGUUAAGGAAUCCAAGACCUCUUUGGUAAUUGGAUUUGUGACAAGGAACAAUGAGUGGACUAAUAUCAUAGGGGCUGCAAUAGUGAUUAAUCCACUAUCCAUGUAUUCUUCUAGACUUGGCUUAUAUCCACAGUAGUACCAUCUUGCUUCUCGUAAGUACGAUUUACACAAAUCUGCCCACUAAUUUAAUAGAAAAAUAUCUCAAAUAUUUAGAAAUGGGAAAAGGGUAAAAAAAUGCCCUUAAACUAUGUGAAAGGAACAAAAAUGUCCCCCGUUUAUAGUUUGGUUCAAAAAUGCCAUUGCAGUCGAUACUUUGGUCCAGAAAUGCCCCUAUAGUUACAAAAUGAGUCAAAAAUGUCAUUUUCCGAAUAAAUGUAUUACUUUUUUCUUUUUAAACACAUAUUCUUCCUGAUUAAAAUACUAUUAAAGAACACUAUUCUUGUCUUUUUUCUUCUAAAAUCACUUUAACAAAUAAAAAUGUAGGAAAUAUGUUUUUUCUUCUUAAUCUCUUUUUAUCAAUUAAAAUAGAAUAACUUCAUGUACCCUUUCAAUAGAUAAUAUAUGUCAUAUAUAUAAGAUCAUAGUAUAUCCAUCAUUAAUUUAUAUUUAUAUAACGAUAAAAAAAUAAUGAUAAUAAAAUAAGAAAUAUUUUCAUUUUUUAUUUUUUUCUGAAUUGAAGUAAGAUAAAAAUUUGCUAAUUCAAAAAAACAUUAUUAGAAAAAGAAUAUGUUUAAAAGAAAAUAAUAAUAUAUUUAUUUGGAAAAUGAGCAUUUUUGACCCAUUAAAUAACAAUAAGGGGAUUUUUAGAUCAAAGUAUUGACGACAAGGGCAUUUUUGGACCAAACGACAAACGGAGGGCAUUUUUGUUCCUUUCGCAUAGUUUAAGGGCAUUUUUGAACCAAAAUAUUGACGGUAAGGACAUUUUUUAACAAAACUAUAAACGGAGGGCAUUUUUGUUUCUUUCACAUAGUUUAAGGACAUUUAUAAUCCUUUUCCCUUUAGAAAUUAAAACAGGGGAAUCCAAAUAUAUAUAUAGAGAGAGCUAAGUAUUUUUACUGAUUUUGUAAGGUAGGGCAUGGCGUUGAUCCCUUGUUCUUUGAGAACUUCGUAUGCAAUUUCAGUGGUUGUGUUGAAGAGUGCAAGGUAACAUAUUUUCAUAUAAUCUGGAAGUUCGUUCAUUGCUUUUAUCUCCAUUCUGAAUGUAAUCAGAAAACUUUUUAGCAAUUCAUGUAUUGUUUAUAAGAGAAAAAUCUAAUUUGUAAAGGUUAGAAUUAAGUUACAGACCUUUCAACAGCAUGAGUGAAGAGUUCCAACUCAUCAAGAGUGCUGUAAACAUCAUACAUGUCAUCUAUAACUGUUGCCAUAGCAGUGACCUUUGUCAACAUUAUUCGACAGUAUUCGUUCUUUUGAGGUUCAAACAUCAUGCCAGCUAUCCAUAAGAAAGCCUCCACAAGUCUAUCCCUUGAAAAUGGCAAUUUUUCUGCAAGCAAUGACUUCUUCCACCACCUUAAUUUCAUGAAAAAUAAUGUUUCAGAUGUAGGAAACUUAUUGAUUGAUGCCUCAGAUCUCGAUUACUAAGCGUAUGGACAUGAAUUAUGGUGAUAUAUAUUUCUAAUAAUCUGAUACUCUGUGAUUUUCCCUAAGAGUUGCUACCUUUUUUUACUCACCUCGAUAGAUUUCUUAGAUCUUGUUGGUGUGUUGCUUGAACAAUGUUGAAAUCCAACUUAGCAAACUCGAGCAGGAGAGGAUCAACAUUUGGGAUUUUCUCAUAAAUUUUAAUGUACCACCUUGUCUCUACUCUCAACAUCUUGCAAUGCAAAGGAAGUUCCAGAGCAUGACGCACUAGUUCCACUGUCCCAUUCUCUUGAUGUUCAGUAUCAUUUAAAUUGUGCAAAUAGUUUUUUAGAUGGGACACUGUGAAUAUAUUGGCUGACUCCAAUAAAGUAGAGGUUUCAGAAUCCGUAGACAGAAAUGAAGCUUCAUAUAAUUGUAACAACCCUUUUGUAUCUUCACAAAGACUUUGUUUGAAGUUACCCUGCUCAUCUUUGAAAUCAUUCAAUAUAUCUACGGGGAAAAAAUGAGUAGAAAUCUUAUUGGUCGGAACAUAUAUAUAAAAAUGACAAAACGAAGAAAUUAGGAAAAAAAUAGAGAGCACCUUGAGAGAUAUGAAAACCAUGUUGUCUGAAGAGCCUAAACUUCAAUGCUGUAGAGUAUAAUGAAUUAUCUCCUGUGGUUGUACUACUAUUUUGGUUAUGUACACUUCUCAAUACUUCCAUAAUUUCAUCCUUAAAGUGGUAACUUACUCCUAGCCUUUGUAAAUUAUCAAUCAACUCCAACUUAGCAUCUAAUUGAUCUUGUAUUGAUCCCUCAACCAUAACCAUCAAAUUCUUUUUCAUUUCCUUCUUUAGUUCGUUACAACGCUUCAUAUACUUAUCUCCCUACACAACACACAUUUACAAAUUAUAUUUUGAAUGAUAGAAUAACGCACACGAAUAAUAUGAUAUAAAGAAAAUGUAGGUAUGUACCGCGUAAGGAUUGUAUAGGGUGUGAAUAAAUUGAAAAUCCCAGAUGGGAGGCUGGUAAUUCCCUGAACGCCUAAUGGGAUUAGAUGAAUGAUUAAGAAGUCGUGGUUCAGCUUUCAUGCCAGUGCCACCGUCACCGUCACCGUCACCGGUGGUUGAAAGGGAGGCUAGUGAUGAUGAUGGGAUGAAUAAAGAGGAAAAUUUAGGUAGAGAUUUUCUUGAGAUGGCCAUAGGUAUUAGCCUCCCCAAGUUGGCCAUCAAUAUUGCCACCAUUUUGUUGGUUUAUUCACUUUAAUGUGUGGACAGAUUAAUUUUUCUGAGCUCCAACAAGUAACUAUAAAUGGAUCAUUCCUCCCCAGAGUUGCUUGUCACACUACAUCAAAAAUGAUCUUUAGUGACAAUUAAUUAACGGUAAUAACUGAAUUAAAUUACCGCUAAAGAUGUAUUUUUAGUGGCAAUUAACACUCUUUGUAUAUGUCCCUGAAACUUUUAGCGACAUUAGAUCUAAUGGCACAUAACUAAUGCCAGUAAAACUUUAGCACUCUUUUUUUUUGGUUGUAGAGUCAGCAGCCUAUUGGAGGUAGAUAUGGUAAAAUGUUACUAAAUGCAGGGCUUAAUACAUAACUAACCCCUUAAAUUUGUCACAAUAUUUCAUUAAGACAAUCAAACUAAGUUAUUUUAAAAAAAAAUCAUCCACAUAGGCUUUCACAUCCAUGGUGAUGACGGAUUUGGCAUAGAUCCCUACCAUGCUAAUUAUAUAGACAAAACUACAAUGGAGGGGAACAAGAGCCAAUACUUCUAUGAGCAUUUCAAUUGAACAUUUCAACAGCUAAUUAUAAAAUAUUCUAAUUUGACAUUUUCAAUUCAAAUUUUAAAUAUUUUAGACGUUACUGAAUAUUGCCACCAUUUUAUUAAUUAUGUGCUUCCAUGCGUUUGUAAGUACGAGGGAUGAUUUUGGAUAUUUAAUUUGGCUUAUAAUGUAUCAUUUUUUUUAAUGUGUAAUGGGAGUAGAUGAUGGUCCAUCUAAUGCUUAGAUAAUUCAUUCAUUAGGGACCAUGUCAUCAUAAAAAACAAUGACUAAGUUAGAUCUUCAAGUUUGAAACUAUAAUGGAAAUAAAAAUCAUAUUAUUGAAGUUUCUUUUGACAUAAUUCAUCUUCAAGAUUUGUUCCACAAGAAUAUAGGUUUGGUUUUCUUAGAAAAUGUUAGUGUUAGGCAUUUGAUUUUUGAGAAUUAGAAAACACAAAUAUAGGGUGUGUUUGGUAUGAAGGAAAACAUUUUCCGGUUUUCUCAUGUUUGGUGGGGUUAAAUGUUUUGGAAAAUGUUUUACAAAUCAACUCAUUUUCCUCAAAUUUAAGGAAAAUGACUUCCCUUCAAAACUUAAGGAAAACAUUUUCCAAAACUAUUUUCCAAUUUCAAAUUACAAUUAUUUUGUCUCUACCCUCUAACCACCCCCACUCCCCCCCCCCCNNNNNNNNNNNNNNNNNNNNNNNNNNNNNNNNNNNNNNNNNNNNNNNNNNNNNNNNNNNNNNNNNNNNNNNNNNNNNNNNNNNNNNNNNNNNNNNNNNNNNNNNNNNNNNNNNNNNNNNNNNNNNNNNNNNNNNNNNNNNNNNNNNNNNNNNNNNNNNNNNNNNNNNNNNNNNNNNNNNNNNNNNNNNNNNNNNNNNNNNNNNNNNNNNNNNNNNNNNNNNNNNNNNNNNNNNNNNNNNNNNNNNNNNNNNNNNNNNNNNNNNNNNNNNNNNNNNNNNNNNNNNNNNNNNNNNNNNNNNNNNNNNNNNNNNNNNNNNNNNNNNNNNNNNNNNNNNNNNNNNNNNNNNNNNNNNNNNNNNNNNNNNNNNNNNNNNNNNNNNNNNNNNNNNNNNNNNNNNNNNNNNNNNNNNNNNNNNNNNNNNNNNNNNNNNNNNNNNNNNNNNNNNNNNNNNNNNNNNNNNNNNNNNNNNNNNNNNNNNNNNNNNNNNNNNNNNNNNNNNNNNNNNNNNNNNNNNNNNNNNNNNNNNNNNNNNNNNNNNNNNNNNNNNNNNNNNNNNNNNNNNNNNNNNNNNNNNNNNNNNNNNNNNNNNNNNNNNNNNNNNNNNNNNNNNNNNNNNNNNNNNNNNNNNNNNNNNNNNNNNNNNNNNNNNNNNNNNNNNNNNNNNNNNNNNNNNNNNNNNNNNNNNNNNNNNNNNNNNNNNNNNNNNNNNNNNNNNNNNNNCCCCCCCCCCAAAAAAAUAAAUAAAUUUAAGUUUGUUUUUAAAAAAUAUUUUCAACUUCAAAAUUUUAUUUUUUCACCCCAACCCUUGAACCCCCCACCCCAAAAAAAAUUUAAGUUUGUUUUCAAAAAUUAUUUUCUACUCUAGUAAAAAUAAAAGAUAUUUCUCAAAAAUAUUUUUCAUUCAUAAAUCAAACACUAAAAAUCUUUUCCGGAAAAUAUUUUCUACUCACCAACCAAACAUGAAAAAAUAUGUCAAAAAUCAACUUGUUUUCCAGGAAAACAUUUUUUAGGAAAACAUUUUCCUUCAUACCAAACACACCCAUAGUUUAUUGUCUUUUGGCCAUUAUUUAGGAUUUAUUUUAAUGAGAGUUUCUGAGGCCUUGCAAUUUUCUGAUGUAAGGUAGUUGCUAAGUCCUCAAAAUGCCAAAUAUUCAAUGUUUCUAAGUCAUUUGUGCAACGUUUUUUUUACAGGGUAUCAUCUUCUUUAUAGACUGUUUGGCAGGAAAAAAACAGCAAAAGUCAAUUCAGUUUAUCAUAAUUGAUUAGUUAACAAGUUGAUUAUACAUAGUCUAAAAUAGGGAAAAAGUUAUUGGUUUAUCAAAUUAACAAUAGUGCCAACAUAAAUUAGAAGUGUUUUAUAGGGUAUCUAAACUUAUUGUUGAGUUUAAUUGAAGGCUGAAGGUCUGAAGCUAUUGAAUCAUAGAAACUUAAUAAUAAGGAUAUAACAGUGUCGAGAAAACCUAUGCUAAGGCAUAAAAUGGUACUCCACCGUACAUCUUACUUGUCCACUGUAUUAAAAAUAGUUGUCCAAUAAUACUUAUCUAAUUUGAAAAAUCAAGAGAUAAUUUAAUAUAUUCAAAAGGUAAUCUAGUAAUAUUACUCUGGCUAUUUGUUGUUUCUUCAGAUAUGUGUCAAGUCGAUAGUGAACAAGGUUUUAUUAACAAGUCAUCCAUUCAUCCACCCUUUUAACCCAUGAAGGCUAAUUAACACACAACUAUUGCUUCUGCCUGAGAAUCAACUAUCUUAUUGGUCACAUCUAGCACCCCUCUAGGCUCCAGGCCAGCAGUCCCAAGCCGAGGACUCAAUCAUCGAUCGAUCUAACUCUGAUACUGAUGUCAUAGACCAAACAAGAGAGUCCAACCCAAAAACUAGUCUAUUAGGUAAGAGAUCCCAUUAGCUAUAAUUUGGCUGAAAAAAAGGACACUAGUAAGAAAGUCACCAAGAAGUUAAGAAAAUUAAUGGAAAUUGUUCACAUAAACUACCCAACAGCCUAAACUAUUUUCCAAAUUUGUGUAAAUAUAUAUAUGCUGCCAGCAACUUCAAACAGCUCAACACAGUGUCUAAACUCCGUGAUUUGCAUCUUUACCUUCUGAGAAAACUAAACGACCAUUUUGCAGCAAAAAUGCAGGAAAGGGUGCUUGACAAGAACUGGUAUGUGCUUUAAGACGAGGAAUGUUUGGAUGUGCACUUCGACAUCGAUGACACCUUAGCUCCAUAGAAAGGAUAUUCUCGUCCUUCAAAAUGGCCUUCCCAUUUUGACUAACUUCAUCUAUUACAUCAACCGAAUCCCGGAAGAAGGGGGAGUUGAAUGAGUUCCAAUGCUUCUUAUUCUUAAGAUGAUUGGAAUCAAAGUCUUGGCUUAUCACAUGAAGAUGCAGUUGACGCAUUGAAGGAACCUACAUGGAAGAAACUUCAUUAAAUUAAGCAGUAGGAGAUGUAGAAGAAAAAUGACUUCAGCAUUUUGACUCGAUGUGAGGGAAGAGAUCAAGAAGAGAAACAAAUGAUUAGGGUUGAACAAAGGAGGGAUCAGGUCAAUGACAGACCUAGUAUUUUUGACACCUAGCAUAAAUAUAUACAUGAAAAGAUACUAAAAUUUCAAUAAAAAUUUAGUUUCAAACCGGGAAAAUGCAUAAGUACCCCCCUAGCCUAUACCCAAAAUCUCUGAGACACACCUAACCUUUACUAAGGUCCUAUUACCUCCCUAAACUUAUUUUUUUAUUAAUUUUCUACCCCUUUUCGGCCUACGUGGCACUAUCCUUGAAAAAAAUGUCAACACGCGUUGGGCCCACAAGAUAGUGCCACGUAGGCUGAAAAGGGGUAAAAAAUUAUAUAUAAAAUAAGUUCAGGGGGGUAAUAGGACCUUAGUAAAGGUUAGGUGUGUCUUAGGGAUUUCGGGCAUAGGCUGGGGGGGUACUUAUGCAUUUUCCCCAAUAUAUUCAAAGGCGGAAUGGAUUCAUAGGUAAGAGUUUAAAGGUUGAACUCAUUGAAUUUAAAUCCUGAAUCCUCCUUUGGAUCUGCAGGAAGCUUGUUGGCAUGGCUUGAGUAAAGAACUAGGAGUAAGAAUCCCUAGUAAAAAGUCCAACACCCAAAACAUGCCCAUGUAUGUAACAUACCAACCAAUAUAAACAAAAACUAGUUCUAUUUACUCAACUUUGUCAUUUGUAAUAUGUUGACCUGGCCUUUGUUAUAUGAUGACCACCAUUAGAUGCAUACCAAAACCACCUCAUUUCAUUUAAUUUACCAGUUUCUCUAGCGGACUGGUGCCUGGUGAACUUCUCAUCCACGCAAAGCUUAACAAAUUUUGCAAAUAUCUUUAUAAUAGAGAUAAUGUAAUGAUAAGUUACAGAACACCCGAGAGAACAACCCACCUCCCAAAAAAAUAGAAAAAGAAAAAGAGAAGGUUGAGGAUAAAACCAAAAAGAAAAAAAUAAGAGAGAAAUAUCAAAAACACCCCUAAACUUGGCGCAAAUUAUUACUUUCAUCCCCAAACUAUUGACAACCUUAAAUAGAAUCCCCAGGAAAGUGUAAGCACCUGUAUACAAUUUCGAUUUUUCUUUCUAUAUGUAGAUAUGGCUUUCUGGAUAUUAUUAGAAAUGCCCAAAAAAAAAUCAUAUUCGUAAAGCAGAAACAUAAACGCACUCCUAUGAACGUGGAAAAUAUACCGGAUUCAAUGGAAUAUACCAAGCUAAAUCGAAUCGCUCGAAAGCACGGGAUGGGCCUUCCCUUCCUUUACGUCAUCCACCACCCUGUCCUAUCCACUCUCCCAAAAUCUCAACUCGUAAUUUGAAGAAACACUCCUCUACUUGACUAACUAAACUUAGAUACACCCCCGAUACACUCCCGAUAUGCAACACGACAUAGCAAGUGGUCUCAAACUCUUGUAGGAGCAUAAGUUCUUAAUAAAAAUCAAGAGAAGUGUUGAAAACACCCCUAAACUUGACGAGAAUUUAGGGCUGUAUUUCACUAAUGUUUCAAGAUCGAGAGUGUAUUUAGCUUUAAUUAGUCAAGUAAAGGGGUGUUUUUAAGGCUGUCAAUAGUACAUGGAUGAACCUAAUAAUUUGCGCCAAGUUUAGGGAUGUUUUUGAUACUUCUCUCAAGAAUAAAUAAAUAAAUAAAUAAGGGGGCACUCUUAUGUACUUCCUUUCAUAUCUCUUAAUGACUCUUAAAACACAUAAUAUUUGGAGAUGGUUCAACGUACCGAAUGAUAUCCAAGGCGGAAUGUCAAUGAAUUGUUUUCAGAUAGAAGCUUUUCUGCCCACUUCAGGCCAACACUGUGCAUUGUCUUUAAUAAAGUGAGGUGCUCCUUCUUAGCAUCUUCAAGACGGUCAAGACCUUCAACACGUGCCAACACUAAGAGGUGUUUCUGAGCCUGCACGAGAAAAUAAACCAUACAUGUAUUUUUCAAAUUCACAAGGGAGAAGGGCCAAAAAGCAGGGUGAGGGAGAGAGGAGGAUAACCUUUGGAUAAAGAUCAUUCAGUACUACAACAUCAUCUGACAUCUCUAUUAUAUUCUUAUGCCUCUCAGGAUGCAUUGCAGUGUCAUAAAGAGCCUGAGCCCAUGAGCCCCAUGCCUUUCUUGACUGUCCACCAGUGUUUCCAUCAUCAGAACUUCCAACAUUGGGUCCGAGUUCUUUCACAAAGCUUUUAAACUUCUUGUUCAUGUCUGUUUCACAGACAGCUUCACGCUUGGCUUUCUGAUCACCACUUCUAGAACCUUGCUCUAGUUGAACUUCUCCUUUAAAUUCUUUUUCAAACUUAUCCUUACAUGGCUCUUCUUGAGUCCUAACUAUAGAUGCAAAACCAUCAAAGAGUGAUGAGUAAGCUUCUCGGAGUAUUUUACAGCCCUUGACGUAGUCAUUGUCGAGACAGUUUGGUCUUUGGGGAUUCAUAUUUGGUCCAAGUACAUGUAUGACAUGAGUAACUCCUUCCCCACUAAACAAGGGAGAAAAGGAAGGAAGAGGGACAACAAUAGCUUUUCCAGAACUAAGGGAUUCAGCUUUAGCUUUGGUUGCAGUUUCAAGGGUGGGACCCGCGGCACUAAAUAUAGCAGCAUUUACGCCUCCACCUCCUGGUUUUAGUCGCCUGAACAAAGUUGGCUUUUAGAUGGCACACAAAAAGUUAACAACACAUAAUAUCCUUACAAUAUAACACUUAAGGUGAAAACACAGAAAGAAUGUGUAGACAGAAUAUUGUAUUACAACGAGUGGUGAGAUUACAAUUGAUUUGUAUCAAGGACCUGCUGGACAUUGUACAAAAAAUGAGAUAUCUGCAAGAUAUUCUAGCACCCUGCUAUUUUAAUGGAUUGCAUGCACACAACUGAUCAUCAAAACCACGUGUGUGUACCAAAUUGACUCAUGAAUCAUGAAAGUAAAUUUCUGCUGGAUAUAUAAAUCCCCAUAUUGCACCUCUGGCAAAAGAAGGUUAUUUCAGGCACAAGGCUACACAUUGUUCCAUUUGUUUAACAUGCCAUCAACCAACCUUAAAACUGUUUAUCGUUUGAAAAAUAGCACUUUAUCUCAUUGAAAUUUUUGGCAUACUUCCUUUUGCAUCCAAACUUAUAGGUAAAAUUUGGAGCCUCCUGAAAAGAUGGUGUACAAAUGAAUUUAAUGUACUACCACUUGAUCUCCCUCACAACUUUCUGGUCACUAAACAAAAUCUCAACAGCAGAACAUUCAAACAGAAAGAAAAAGGGAAGUUUCUGGUAAGCCUUUUGCAUUAUUAUAUCAAGUUUCUCAUUUUCACUAGCACAGUAUCAUGGCGCAGAGAAUUACCAGUUAGUGGCGUUAGCAAUCACGUUGCAGUGCAAACCUCCUUCUGAGUAAAGUUUAGUUAUAUUCCCUACAAACGUAAAGAACUUUUUGGAGUUGAUGUUCUUCUCUGCAGCUUUAGCCCUGACAAGGGACAGUAUUUUUGAAUUCUGAGAUAAAUCCACCAAGACAAGCCUAGCACUCCCAAGCUUAUUUACAUAUUCCUCAACCUUUUCAACUAUUAUAUCCGAUGCUUUUUCAAGAUUGAAAUGGAAAUCUGCUGUAGAAAUAGAUGGAAAUGCAAGUGUGGGGGCAUUUUCUAAAGAAAUGCUACAGCCAACAGAUGCCAUUUUCGGUUCUUCACAGCUUUCAAGUACUUGGUUGGAGUCCUUUUCCUUGGUGGCAUGAGAUUGAGUAUCCUCCAGAGAGACAUUCAUCAUAGUAUCAGAACAUCCAGGAGGAUCCUUUUUUUUGAGGAACUUCAUUAUACCAAGUUGGACUUUGGCAUCUGACUUCUUCUGGCCAAAAAAACCUGGUGGAAGUUUAUCUGAUGGACCAAGUGCAGUGUACGUAUUGAUAGCAGCUUGAACAUCUUUUUCAUCUUGGCAAACUGUAAUUCGAUCAUAUCCUUCAUUCAGCUUAGGCAGCUCUUUCUUUUGCAGCAUCCUAUUCACAACUGCAGCAGCUUUCCCACCUUGCAAGUUCCCUUCAUGCCCUGUCCUCUUAACCGACCGAGAAAUACAAAGCUUAGCUGGAAGAUCAAGUGCCACAGCGUGUUUCUCAACUUCUGGACCAACAAGCUUCACAAAGUCGGCCCGCUGUUCUCUAUCUAAGUUGCAUCUAUCUAUAAAUACACUUUUUCCUUCCUUCAGCGCACUAGCUGCACCUGUCAAACAUUGCUUCUUUGUCCCAGCCUUACCAUUCCCAAUGGUAUCCUACAAUAGCAAAUAGAACUGGUCAAUUUACCAAAGUGAGACCGUAACAUCACAAUAGCUGGCUGUUGGCAUAGCAUUCCAUUUAAUAAUCUGCGAGGUGUAGUCGCAGUACUAUAAACUCCACAGAAGACAAACAUCAACAUGCUUCAAAUUCAAAUAAUCAACAAAGGAAAACAUUCUCAGUAAGAAAAACAUAACACAUGUGAAAUUGCAAAGCUAAGCUACUCUAGCCAGACUGAACAACUACAAAACAACACUUCAUUUCUAGUACAAGUGAUGAGGGACAUUGUACAACAACCGGCAAAAAUACCCUCUUUCAGCCCAAAAACAAUGACAGACUUCAGAGAAUAAGGAUCAACUCAUUUAAUUUCCCCAUGAAUUCGGGCAUAAUUUCUUUUCUUUUUUUUAAGAAAAUGAUAUUUCUACAUACAUAGUAAUUCAUUCAGGCAUUCCAUCAAACAGAUAGUCUACAAACAUACAAAGAAACAAAAAAAACAAACAAGGUGAGAAAAAUGAAAAUUGGAACUAACCUGGCAAAUACGAACCCAAGGCCUGGUUGAGACUCGCAUUACAAGGUCACAAAAUGUGGACUUACCACUUCCUGGAGCUCCUAUCAGUAUUACCAUUACAGGUUUCCCUUUGCCUUCUUCUUUCGCUUCAUCCUUCCCUAUUUUCAACAAAUUAAUUAAGUCUCAAUCCUAAAUUAGUCGGGGUCAGUCAUCUAUAUACCCAUUUCUCAAAUAUAGAGGAUUCGUAUACAGAAAAAAGAAGAAUGAAUGAACAAGUUGAGCAAUAAUUUACCUGCAGAAUCAAUCUCCAUUGCUUCCAUGGUGUUAUCAAAAGAUGCAAAGGUCAGUGAGUUAGUCGCACUAAAUGAGGAAUUGGAUCGGUUGACAUGCCCAUGGGAGGACUUCGGAGCUUCUCAGGUUCGAAUCUUACACGAAACACUUCCAAAGGGUUGAAAAAAGAAAAACAAAAAUGACAACGGGUGUGUUUGGUAUAAUGGAAAAUAUUUUCCCUUAAAAUUGAUACUCCCUCAUUCCAUUUUAUGUGACAUCGAUUUGAUAUGGUGUUAAAAAUAAAAAAGAAAAACUUUUAAAAUUUGUGGUAUGAAAUAAUUUUUAGAUAUUUGUGUGGCUUAAAUCCAUUUCAGUAAGGAUAAAAUGAAUAUUUUAAAGUUAAAUUAUUUCUAAUUAUGGUAAGAUGACAUUCUUUUGUAACCGGCUAAAAAGAAAAGGUUGUCACAUAAAUGCAUAAUACAUAAGCAUGAUCCUUAACUUGGUGUCAGCUGACAACUAGGACCUUUAACUUUGAGUGUGCACAAAUAUACUUGAACUUGUAUAAAAUUGAACAAAUAGAAACAUUCGUCAUACAUGAAAAUUUUAUGUCCUACGUGGCAUCCUACAUGUAUUAUGCCAUGUAGGACAUGUGUGUCUACUUGUUUAAUUUUAUACAAGUUUAAGUGUCUAUUUGUACACACUCAAAAUUGGAGGACAUAGUUAUCCGUUGAAAUCAAGUUAAAGAUCAUGUUUAUGUAUUACGUAUAAAAUGGGAAUGAAACAUAUAUAAUAUAUAUAGUAUGAAAUACAAAUUGAUUUACUUCAUUACUAUUUUGUCCAUUACUUUUUAAUGGGUGUAGUGAAUGAAAGUCAGGUGUACAAAUGAAUAUGAAUAGUCAAGAUUAUUUUUCUUGUUAUACUUACACGAAAUGCAGUUUAAUUAAUUAAUAACUUUUCUAAGAUAAUAUUUUUCUCCGAUCCCGACUUGAUGAUGGGUCAUGGGAUACAUAUUUCAAUUUAAUUUUGAGGUUCGAAAUAAGAGUCACCUAGUUGAUAGUGGUAAAAACUAAAAAUAUUUUUGCCAGUUUCUAAUAUUCCAAAAUCAAACAGAAGACAUUUUAAUUCUAUUUCUAUUAAAGAAAAAAAAAAAAAACUCAAGAACAUUUUUUUAAUUAUUAUUUUCUGUUUAAUUUAUUGUAUAAUAAUUAAUAAUAAAUCAGAUCUAAGUAGAAAGGGUGAAGUACUCCUUAUAAAUUUCCGCUGCGAAAAGAGUUUCAAAGAGCACGGUCAGAUGUGGUGCAGCAGAUGAGAUUGCUACUAUUUUAAUUAGAGGUCUUGAAUUCGAGCUUUGAAUAUAAAAAAUAAUUGAUAGGAAGGCUUUUCCCCGAAUGGGACCCUACAAAGGCGCAAUUUCAAAUGAAUUGAAAUCCAAUAUGAAUACCGAUCACCGAAUAGUUUAAAAAAAAGAAAGAAUUUCAAAGGAAAAGCCAUUAAUAGAUGAUAAGCUAACAAAAGCAAGCGACAAAAUACAAUACUUAGUAGUCGUUUGGUACAAACAUUGAUAACGCAGGAAUUAGUAACACGUGAAUUAGCCCGUGGAAUACAAUCCCUCCAGGAAAACUAGGAACUCAGAAAAUACAUUACAACAUAUAGUGGCAACUCCCAAUAUUCUUUGAACAGCUAGAGAUUUUAUUGUGGAUUUGGUGGACGACUAAUAGCUGCUGAGACCCUAGAACCCCAUUCAAGUAGCUCUUUGCUAGUGUCAUCUUUGUGGACAAUCACUUCAAUGAAACACAAACAAUCUAUCUUUGCUCCAUUUGCUGUUUCAAUUGCUUCCACCAACUCCUCUUCACAAUAAACCUGCAUACAAUAGAGACGUUCCGUUACGAAUCCUUUCAUUCAACAUUCGGAGUUAAAAAACAAAGGUGAUGAUUGAAAAUUUGAACAUCCACUCACCUUAGUUGUCCAACAUUUUCCUUCUCCGUUAUGGAUUGCAUCGACUAAUCCUGUGUAGUUCCAAUUCUUGAUCACAUUGUAAGGUCCAUCAUGGAUCUCAACUCCAAUUCUAUAACCAACAUUGUUCAUCAAGAAGAUAAUGGUCCUUUGCCCACACCUUAGCAUUGUUGAAAUAUCCUGAGCGGUCACCUGCAAGUAUUUCAUUUGACAUAAAAGUUGGAUUAGACACACCGGGGAAUGCCAACAAUUCAUUCUCCUCUAUUCAAUUCAAAUGGAGUCCUUUUAAUUACCUGAAAGCUACCAUCACCGAUGCACGCAAUCACACGUUUGUCUGGUGCAGCUUGUGCGUAACCAAGAGAUGCACCAACAGACCAACCGAUAGAUCCGUACUGCAUUUGGAACUCAUACCUAAAGGACAAUCAAGAACGACAGAACUCAUUAAUAUGAUUUGUCAUGCAUCCUUAAUGCAUACCAAAAUGAGAGCAAUUUGCAUUGAUUUGUUCUGUGCUCACCCGCAUCCUUGUGGCAAUUUCAGUUUCUGACAGUUGAACCACGAGUCCCCCGUUUCAGCAAUCACAGCACUCUCACCAGACAACAUAUUCUGAAUGUGCUGAAAUAGAACAUUAACUCUUAAUGCCUCCUUAGGCUCGCAUUUGAGAGGUUGUCCAUCAAGAGCAUAAAUCCUAUGAUAAUUCUCAUAAGAAGUUGGAUUAUGCUUCAAUCUCUUUGCUAAUGCAGCAAGGAAAUCCCUCAUCAGAACACAACCAAAUGCAGGUCCGUUCCCAAUUGUCACACGACCAGGCUGGACAAUGAUCGCUUUCUCUUUCUUGAGAAGAAGAGAAUAACCAACAGUGCUAUAGUCGUUAAAAAUUGGUCCAGCAAACAAGUAUGCAUCAGCAGAUUCAACGAUUUCAGCACAGAAGGCCGUGCUCACUGCACCCCAGUAAGUUCCUAAAAAAUGUGGUUGGUGUUCCGGAACCAAACCUUUAGCGGCUGGCAUCACUGCCACCGCAUAACCACAGCUGUCAGCCAACUCAACAAAAGCAUCACAUGCCUUUGCAACCCGCAUAUUCUGCCCUGCAACAAGCACUGGCUUUACUGCUCUGUUCAAAAACUCAGCCGCUGCUUCCACUGCCGCUUCCAAACCCAUCAGAUUACUUAAUCUGGAAGCAUUAUACAUAAUAUAUCAACCUAGUAUAAAAGUGUACAAUAGUAUAUAAAAGGUUUAUACACAAAUAUGGGAUAAACCGAGUAACAAACUCAAUCUAUGAGCUACAUGACGUAGACAUAGAGCGGAAUUUUCCUAAUAUUUUACCUGGGAGAGAGGGAAAAUGGAACUGGUUCACGACGGAAUGUAGGGUGUGGAAUCCCGGGUAAAUUACAUCCUACGCUAAUAUAAACCGGUUUACUCUCCUUCAAACAUGUGGAAAUUGCAGUGUCAAUCAGUUCAUGAGCAUCGUCUAAAUUAUUUAACACAGCCUGAAAAACCCAAAAAAGAUAUAUUCUAAAAUCAAGCUUCAGGGUCAUUAGUUCGAAGGAUUCUAUUAUGUAAAAUCAUAGGAUGAAGGAUUCUAUUAGUUCCAUAAUCAUUCGAAUUAGGUCCACCAACAAUACAAAUCAAAGGUAAAUUUUCACUAUAAGCACCAGCAAUUGCAUUAAUAACACUUAAUCCACCGACGGUGAACGUAACUACACAAGCCCCAAUACCCCGUGCCCUAGCAUAUCCAUCAGCAGCAUAACCGGCAUUUAGCUCAUUACAACAACCUAUAAGGUUAAGUUCAGGUUCAGCUACGAGAUGAUCGAGAAGCGUCAAGUUAAAGUCACCGGGAACGGAGAAAACAUCGGUUACUCCGAUUUGGACUAAACGGCGGGCGAGAUGACGGCCGAGUGUUGAUUCAGGGGAAUUGAAAGGAACAGUGGAGUUUUGGAUUGCACCAAUCAUGAAGUCCAUUAUUUCUUCGCCUUUUUGACUAUAAAUCAAAAUUCUCGUUGAGAUAGGUGAAUAUACUUCGAGAUUAUAUAUGAUGAUGAAUAAUAGUAUGAAGGUUUGUUUUGGUUUGGUUUGGUUUUGUGAGUAAGAGAAAUGGAGGGAGUUGAGAAGAUUUAUAUAGUGUUUGGAUAAAGAAGAAACAGGGGGCAGAUUCAAAUUUAUUCAAGGUACGUAACACAACUAUGAUAUAUGGCUAAGUAGGUUGACAAAAUGCUGACUACAAUUGUGUAGAAUUUGAAUAUUCAAAUUAUAUUUGCCUUUGAUCGCUGAGACGUCAAGUCAAAUGAUGCCACAUAAAAUGAGAUAUAGGGAGUAAGAAAUUAGAAAGAUAGGCGAACGACUUGACCAUAGUAUAGGUCAGAUGUUUCCGUGAGCAGUAAACAAUAGAUCCCCCCUUGUUUUGGGAAAGCUGGUGGCCGUAUGUGAAUUCUUUCAAGGCAAAGGGCGGCCUGAUUCGACAUUGUUGUUUACCCUGAUCCGGUCGAGGUGAUUUUUGUUCACCAACAUGUAGGUGUUCUAAAUUCCUAUGAUCGAAUCUUGUUGGCCCCUUUGAACCUGUGAAAAGUGGUAAAUGUCGACUAACGGCCAUUUCAUGCUAAAACGCAUUUUUAGCAAAGUAAAGCUGAGUUUAGCAUUCCUUUGUCCUGGUAGGUUACAACUUACAUGUUAUAGGUUGAGUUGGUGAUUAACCAAAAUUACUUAAUUACCAAUAUAAAAAGAAGUUAAAAGCAACAGCUAAAGUGGGAAGUAAGGAGUAUAUCAAAUUAAUUUUUUUAUUUAGUUAUUAAUAUUGUUAUCUAAUUUGUAUUACUAAAACAUUUAGAACAAUGACUUUGCAGAAAUUCGUAAGAAACAACAAAAUUUUAAGUAUGUUAUAAAAAAAAGAGUCUAAAAUCACUAUUGAAAAUAGAAUUUGUAACAAAACAAAAAUAAUAUCGAAAAAAAAUAAUCAAGUCCACUGAAUGCACAAUGUGUCCUUAAGGAAAUUAUUGUCAUUAAGUAUUCGAGGUUAAAGGAAUAUAUCCUGCCAGGUAGAAUGAUUCUACUAACCAAUAUAUUGGUAAAUACCAAAAAUAAUGUUGUCAACGAACCAUUUAAUGGAAGCAAAGUACACUAAAUUUAUUUGUGCAGAAGAAGAAGAUUAAAAAUAUUCUUAGUUGAAAGUAUGAGGAAUCAAAAGUUUAACUUUAUAGUUCGAAGUAUUGUUUUCAAAAGUCUGCAACCUUCCAGAAUAGUCACUUAAGUACGGUUGUUUCUGAAAGUUUGUAACUUUUCAAAAGAAUCACUUAAUGAAUGAUGGAAAUCUUAAAUACAUCUGCGAAAGAGACUAAAUCAAGUCGCGCAAAUUCUGUUCGAAACUGAGUUGUUCGGAUUGGCUAAUUUAGUAAUCAAAAUAAUCUCUCGAUCAAUCAUUUUUCAAACUCAAAGCUACAGAAGAAGACGAAGACGGGCCAAGCAAGGAAUAGGGAUGACGACACGAAGGGUCCCUCUUUCCGACCCUUUUAAGAACAAGCAAACGUGUUUUCUUAUUUAAACACUUGAAUUUUUCUUUCUAUUAUUAAUGAAUAUUUUUCUCUCAAUCAUAGAGAAACACUUCAUAUUCUGUGCUUUCAUAUUCCCUUUAUUUCAUUUAUUUUUACUAUACUCAAUAAAUAUAAAAUAAAAAUAUAUGUCAUAUAAUUAAUCAUGAAGUGAGAAAUAUGAAAAAACAUAUAUUUUAUAUUUAUGAAUUUAAUAUUAUAUUUUUUUUAAUCGAAAAUGUGCUUGGGACUUGGGGUGAGCAAUUGAAUGGAAAGACGGUAUAUAUGAAAAAUGAGUUUGAUUAGAAAGUGAAGAGAAAUAUGUUCGGUUGGAUUUAAGCCACAAAUGAAAGAAUUGUGGACAACUUAUUAUAGAGAACAAUUUAUAAAACUCAUAUAGUAUAAUUUUUAUUGAUGAAUAAUAUAUUUAUAAAAAAUUUAAUACACUUAUAAUACAUCGUGUUAAUCUCUUACCAAACAAGCAUAAUAUAUUUUAGAAACAAUUAUAAUAUAUUUAUAUCUGAAGUAAUUUUUCCAAGUAAUAAUUAUAUUGUUAAAUGUUCAUAACUCUUUUGUCCAUUUAUUUAAGCGAACACCUCCUUUAAAUACAUAGAACUUUUAGUAAGUUGAAUAGAUUUCCAACAUACAAUUUACUUAUACAUAUAGUAUUGAGAGAAAUAUUGUUGAUGUCAUUUUCUAUUAAUAAUGAUAGUUAUAUAUAAAUAUAGAUAGAUAAUAUGUGAAAAUUGAUAAAAGAAGAAGGAAAAGAAUUAUAGAUGAAAAUGAACAAGUCAAGAAUACAAAUCAAGUUUUGAUUGUUAUCUCAAUAGUCAACACAAGUUAUCUUUAUACGGAAAAGAAAUAUAGAAGUUGAUAUCAAAUUGUCACAUUAGGGUAAGAAGAAGUUGCUCGGACGGUAAGUACCUCUCACUUUCAAUUCUGUGAUUGCUAAAAUUAAAUUAGUUUAUAAUUUGUUUCACCAAAAAGAAGGAUCAUUAAUAUUUUGUGAUUUUAUUUUUGUUAUGAGUUACUUAAUGUUGAUUAUUAUUGUAAUUCUUUUCGUCUUCUUCCUUUGUAUCUUUGUAAAUAUAUCGCUAUUCUUAAUUAUCAUUGCAUCAACAUCUUUAAGUUAAUGUAACUUUUUGAACAAUUAAAUUUCUUCUUGUCUCUUACUAAUCUUGAUAGGAUAUAUGAAUUUUAGUUUUAUUCAUUAUCAUAUUAAUUACAAUGUACUUACUCUUCCUUCUGCAAUAUUUGAUGUAUGUAUCUAUCAAAAUACACAUAUAACAGGAAUACGGUUAAUUAUAAGUUUAUUGGACUAUUCAAAUUGUAAGAUUAUCGUAACAGGAACGAGAAUGUGUACCUGUUAACAACAAUUGAAUGAUAAUGAAGUCUUGUGAAAGAUUGCUCCAAGUUCAACUUUGAGACUCAAGGAAUCAAAGCUAUGUUUCCACCCCUUUUUCAAAUUGGUACUUAUCUCUUUUUCAGAAAAAAAUUGGGUUGAUCCACAUGAGCGAUCCACAAUCCAAAGCUUACAUCUCCCACUUCGCACAUGGUGGACAAGACCUAAAUCAAUAUGAUAUCAACUAAACACACAAUUCAUACGACAAAUAGGUCGUGCGACUUGUGAGUACCAAGACUUACUUGAAGAUUUUUACAAGCCCUACAUAGGAAUUCAAUCACAUGUGGAAAGAAUUCACUAUUAAUUUAAGGACACUAUUACUCACAAUACCCCAUACUUCGUUCACUACUUCAGUAGUUACUCAUUCGAUCCCUCAUCCUCUUAAAAAUGUUAACUGGAGUUCAUGUUUAACUUUAUACACACAAUUACACUCAACAUCAAUAUGGUUAGUGCAAUAGCCGGCAUGUGUGUAUAAGUUUAUUAUUCAAUUAAUUGUCUUUUCUUUCUACUUGAAUCUAUUUGUUCCUAUUCAACUAUUUUCCUAGACAUGCACUGCGUUGCCGAAUCAUUCAUGGCUGUUAGUAACAUGCUAAAGUAGCAACAUCGAUUGAAACUUCAAGAAAUAGCAAAAGGUCAAAGGAUAUUUCAUUGAGAAGUCAUUUUAACUUUUCAGGGUCUCACACAAUGAAGAAGCAGAGAACCAUUCUUUCAUUGACCCAUUAAUUGCAUGACAUACAUGCUACGAUGUUUUCACCUUAUAUUGGUGUAUGAGUCUCAUUCUUUCGAUUAUCCAACAUUGUACAGACCUUGGUCUAAACAUCUCCAGAUGUUUAACCCUAGCUUCUCUCUUCAAUGAUCCUUAAACUCUUGUUCUUAGAGAAACACUUGUUUGGCUCAUAAAACAAGUCAAAAUAUGGUGUCAAAACUCAUCUCUUCACGUUCCUCGAUAUAAGAGGCAAUUGCUCGUUGAGAGAGCCAAUCUCGCGACUUAUUUGAUACACUUUAUUUCUUACAAAAUAUCAUAUGCAUACCACAUUUGAACAUAUAUAAAUUCAAUAGAAUUAUAUAGAAGAGAAUAUUAUAACAAUCAAGUUAUUUUACAAUACUAAAAUAUCAUUAAAUCCUACGCAAACCUAGAGCCUUAACAUGUUUUUCAAACAAGUCUCUAGAGAUGACAUUCGUAAAAGGAUCAACUAUCAUUUCACGUGUAGGAAUGUAUUGCAAAGUUAUUUCUCCACUUGCCACUACGUCUCUUACAAAGUUAUACUUGAUGUCAACAUAUUUGGUCUUGCUGUGAUACUUAGGAUCCUUUGUGUAUGCGAUAGCCACUUGACUAUCACAAUAUAGAAUCAUGAGACCCUUAGAAUUCUUUGCAAUACUCAAAUGUUCAAAGAAUCUCUUUAACCAAACAACUUCUUGUACUGCAUACGCACAAGCCACGAAUUUAGAUUUCAUGGCUGUGCAAGUUUUCUUCUUACUUUUCCAUGAAAUAGCACUACCAUUUAGUAAGAAAGCAUAACUGGAUGUUGAUUUUCUAUCAUUCCGGUCACUAGCCCAAUCAACAUCUGUAUAACCUCUUAUAAAUUAGAUCCACUAUAACAUAGUGUAUGAUCCGCAGUUCUCUUCAGGUAUCUGAAUAUUUUGUUUACUGCUUUCCAAUGAUCUCUUUCGAAAUUGAAUUGAUACUUGCUAACCAGACUCACGUCAUAAAAAAUGUCUGGGUGAGUACACAUCAUAUCAUACAUCAAAUUCCCGACAACACUAGAAUAAGGAACUCAAUACAUGUCUUCCUUUUCUUUUUCAGUCUUUGGACAUAUUUCAAGGCUUAAAGUUUCACCGCUUGCUACAGGAGUAUCCAUGGAUUUGCAACUAUUCAUUCAAAAACGUUCCAAUAUUUUCUUAAUAUAAGUUUCUUGAGAUAAACUCAAAAAUUUCUUGGAACGAUCUAUUUGGAUCUUAACACCCAAUAUAUAGUCUGCUUCACCCAUAUCUUUCACAUCAAAUGAUUUCGAAAGCCAUUACUUGACAAUUUUCACAUACUUUAAAUUAUUUCCAGCUAAUAAAAUAUCAUCUACGUAAAGAGAAAGAACUACAAAUUUUUUAUUGGGCUUUUUCACAUAGAUGCAAUGGUUUUCAUCGAUCAUGGUGAAAUCAAAUGACAUCAUCUCCUUAUGAAAUCUCAGCAAGAUUGCUUUAGGCCAUAAAUUGAUCUUUUCAAUUUACAAACUUUCUUUUUCUGACCUUUAACAACGAAACCUACUGGUUGUUCCAUGUAGAUUUUCUCAUAUAAUUCUCCAUUGAGAAAAGCGGUCUUCACAUCCAUUUGGUGUAAUUCUAGAUCUAAAUGUGCAACAAUAGCUAAAAGUAAUCGUAUGGAGGUAAACUUUACAGCUAGUGAAAACGUUCUCAUAGUUUAUUUCAACUUCUUGAGUAAAACCUUUUGUCACCAAUCGUGUUUUGUGUCUUUCUAUUGACCAAUACGAUUUGUAUUUAUCUUUGAGAAUCCAUUUAUUCACAAUAGCUUUACGUUCCUUAGGAAUGUCAACUAGAUCCCAAACUUUGUUGAUUUUCAUGGACUCUAAUUCUUCUAUCAUCGCUUUUAACCAUUCAUCCCUUUUAGGGCUUGAUAAGACCUCACUUACAAAAUUAGGUUCAUCCAAUUCUGUAGGAGAUACCAAGAAAACAUAAUUCUCAAGAAAACAUAUCUUAUACUCUUAUGUAAUUGAAGUUCAUAUUCCUCCAUAGGAUUUUGGGAUUCAUAACUCUCACUUGGACCAGGUAUUAUUUCUUGAUCAUUUGAGUUAUCAAGUAUAUCUUACGACACUACCUGAUUUUCUGAAUUCAACAUUUCGUAGAGAGGCUUACCUUCAUCUAUUUCACUUUUUUGGGAAAAUCAUUUUCCAAAAAUCUGACAUCUCGUGAUACUAUUCCAAUAAUACUUCCAUCUUUUAGUUCAUCAAUGCACACAUAUCUUUUGGAGCGUUCAGAGUACCUUAUAAAGAUGCAUUUCUUUUCUCUUAGACUUAGUUUACCAAACUCACCAAAACGAUCUUUAAUAUAUGUUGCACAACCCCUACGGUUGUAGAUCAUUCAGGUUUGUUUUAUGACCAGUCUAAAGUUCAUAAGGAGUGAUAGACACUGAUUUAGAAGGCACUUUGUUCAAUAUAUGGGCCGCAAUCAAUAAUGCAUCUCCCCAGAAAGAGAUAGAUAAAUUUACAUGCGCCAUCAUUGACCUAACCAUGUCUAAUAAUGUUUUAUUCCUUCUUUCAGCUACACCCUUUUGUUGGGGUACAUAAAGAGUAGUUAAUUGUCUGAUAAUACCAUUUUCAGUACAUAAUUCUUUAAAUUAUUUUGACAAAUAUUCACGUCCUCGAUUAGUUCUUAAAGCCUUUAUGCUUUUAUCUAAUUAAUUUUCAACUUCAUUUAUAUAUCUUUUAAAGCACUGAAGUGCUUCAAAUUUAUGAGAAAUCAAAUAGACGUAACCAAAACGCGUGAAAUCAUCAAUAAAUGUAAUGAAGUCUGUAGCACCAGACCUAAUUGCCUUCACAUUCAUUGGACCACAAAUAUCAUAAUUGAUUAAUUGAAGUGAAAACUCUGCUCUUUUAGCCUUUCCAAAUUGUUUACGUGUAAUCUUUUCAGCAAGACAAUUUUCACAAGUUAGCAUAUCAAUUUUGGUGAAAGAACCUAAAUGCUCUUCCUUUGCCAACCUAUUCAUUCGAUCUUGCCCUAUGUGACCUAAUCUUGCAUACCGUAUAAUAACAUCAAUAUCAUUGUUACUUGAAUAACAUGCCAUUACACAACGGUCAACAUAAUAUCCAUAAGUUGAAGGAUUACAAUCUAAAACGUUAAAAUGAUCAUAACGAAGUCUAAAAUCAUAUAAAACAUUAUCUAGAGUUAUUCUAACACCAUUACGACUAAAAAAAUAAAUCAAAAUCAACAUUUAAAAGAACAGACACAAAUACUAAGUUACACUGAAUCUCUGGAGCAUAUAAGAUGUCGUACAACAUCAAAGAACGGCCACCACGCAAGCCCACUUUGCAAGUGCCUAUCCCUUUGACAUCUAGUUUUACAUUAUUUCCUACGUAGAUUCACCUUGAUUUAGAUGAAACUCGACGAAACUCCACUAACCAUUCUUGAUCUCGACUCACGUGGUCGGUGGAUCCUGAGUCUACCAUCCACAUAUGAUAAGAUUCAGUUAGUAAAUAAGUGCUAGAAACAUAUGUAGCACCCAGAGAUGCGUUUAGAAAUGCUACCUUUUUCGGCUCAGUACAUUCAUGAGCAAAAUGCCCCAACACUUGACAAUUGUCGCACUUCAUUUAGCUAUUGUCUCUUUUCUUGAAAAAACGUUUUCCCUUCUUGGAAUUUAGCUUCUUCUUUUUCUUGGAGGGUCCUUCUCCGGUCCCUUUGUCUUUUUCAUUUCUUUUCCAACUCUUCUUCCACUUGAAGCUUGAGGAUUUUGUACCACUUGACUCCGCCAUAAGGCAUUAGAAACAGUUUUAGUAGCACCAAGCCGCUCAUCUCCAAGUUCAACAUGACGAGCAACAUCAGAAAAUAUUUUGAUACUAUCAUAGGUCAAGUUGACCUUCAAAUGUUCCUAAUUAUUGGGAAGAGACCGAAUCACUGUCUGGAUUUGUUGUUCGUCUAAAAGAAUAUGACCAACACUCUUGAGUUAAGCUAUCAUGUUUGACAUCACCCUAAGGUGUUGUUUGAUAUUUUGAUCAUGACGCUUCUUGUAAGUGUCAAAUUUGAUAGUCAACUGUCAGAGGCGGGUUACUAAUGUACCCCAUAUGUUCCUCACAGAUGUGCCCACAUAACAUGAGCAGUAGGAAAUUCCUUAGAUUCAUGUAUGAGGUCAUCAACCACAGAACUAACUGCUAUUCCGUGUGCAGUGGAAUUAGCCUUUUUCCAAGCUUUAUAAGUUUCAAGGUCUCAUCUGUGUUGUGCAUUAUUUCUCUCUUCUGGUUGAUUCAAAACAUGAUUUAUAUCUUUCAGAGCAUUUUGCUCUUCCAGUACAUACCAUAUUUUACAACUCCAUAUGUUGUAAUUGUCACCGUUCAGUUUUUCACCUUUGUUUAAGUUAGCUAUAAUGCUUUUUGAUGCCAUGUCUGUUUGGAGAGAUAAAAGACAAGAAUUCUAAAUCAAUUUUGCAUGUGACAUACACAUUCAAGCAAAUUAAUUCUCAUAAAAGUUUCAUAUUUAAUGUAAAAUCGAAAGGACACGUAAGCAUCCAAUCAUCGCCUACAAAUUAAAUAUUUAAUUAAAAACUGUAAUUGAUUUCUUAAUUUGCAUUCUAAUAUAUUUAGGCCCAUAAUCACAAGUAUUUAUAUGUUUAAUAAUUAACACCAUAUGAUAAUGCAAAAAGAAUAACAACACACCAAUUCAAAAUAGGAUGGAACACAUAUAUUCAUAUUAAAACAUAAUCAACGGUGUUCUUUACAUAAUAUGCAAAACCAAAAUAAACACUUAAAUACUAGACUGCGAUUCUAUGUGAUCACGCUGGCCAUCUAGCUUCAAAAUUCACUAUGAACCUCCAUAAUGGUUCGUUAGGACCAAAUUCAUGAUAGAUGUUUGCUAGUUCCUUCUGCCAAUAAUCUAGUAAGUAAUUAUACAAAAUACCUAAUCCAACGUAAUCCUCAACAUAGAUGUAAUAGUUAUAAAUUUGAUUAAUUUUAAUCCAAAUUUUUUCACGGAAAUUGGGUAAUUGGUCAGACAAGUCCAUUUUGAUAUUUUUGAACUCUUCAAAUAAUCUUUUCCUUCUUUUUUACAUGCUCUUUUAUUGUUCUGAUUUUGCAGUAUCCUUGAGUCAUUUCUUAUGACUUUCGGUUGAUCCUUUUAUGUUACAUCCUCCUACCAUUUAUUUUUUCUCCUCUAUUAAUACCACUCCCACUUGGAGCAAUUGGAGCAUGUUCCCGUUCAGCCAUAUCUGAAAUGAAAACAAAAAAUCAGAAAAAUAUGGUUAAAAAGCAUUUAAUGCGACAACAUAUGUUACAAAUUUCUGGUAGAGGGCAAAGUGAUUAUUAAAAAAGAGUUUACUCCUAAGAGAAUUAUUACAAGACCAAUUUAAUUAUUUUUCAAAAUCAUAAUAUAUUUCCACACAUAUAUAUACAUAUGGUUAUUUAUAAAGUACAAAAACCCUAUCAAUAUUAUAUUAAUCCCCUUAAAAAAUAAUAUAUAAAAAAAUGAAGUGACUAGAUGUAUAUGAGAUUUUCAAAAUAAAUAAUACUUAAAGUCACAUUAGAUGCUAUAUUAUUUCUUUAUAAAAGGAGAAAUAACACUUCAUAAUCCUAAAAGAAACUGAACGCGUUUUUUUCAAAAUUAAAUAUUUUAAUGAACAAAAAUGUCAUAUCACUCUUUUUGUCCCUUUUUAAUUAGUAUUUAAAAAUAAAAAUUAAAGCCCAUGUUGACUCUUUCAACAAAUACAAAAAAAUAGAAAGUACUAACUACUUUCUCAUAACAAGUACAACAAAAUCAAUUACCUUUUAUCUUUUUUUAAGAGGCCACACAUUUUUCUUCCUUUUUUUAAAAUGAAGAGUUGUACUAAAAUUUGAAGUAGUACUACAAGUCAAAAAAAUAAAUAAAGGAGAAUUGAUGAGUCCUAGAUUUGGACUCAUUUGGGAAUUUGUUUAUAUAGAUUUAGUGUCCUCAAAUGCUUAAUUUGUGUCAUAUACUGAUGCUAAAGCCUUGAUUUUCAGGUAUAUGGAUUGAGGAGCAAAGCAAGGAUACUAACAGGCAAAAAAGAACAAAAAAAGCUGAAGGACUGAAGAACGGCGAGCCUGAGGAUUGCCAAGAGCACUUGGCCUGUCGCCGAAUUGCUAAUUUGAUCGCCUAAAGUUCCAGUGUGCCAAACUCUAAAGGAAGAAACCAAGUCGGUGAUGAAAAGUAGUAGUUGGCGGACCGCCGAGCGGUUCCGCGAUGCAUAGAGAGAUCUCCCAAAGUUACAGAACUUGAGGAUGCUGAGUCCCAAGGUGAAAAGGCGAUGGAACAUAUCAAAGGGCGGCUUGCCGAGUGGUUCGGUGAUCCCAACUUACUUCACCAAACGACCCUUUGUGGCUUAUUUUCUGCACCUAUAAAUUAGAUUUUAUUUAAGGAAGAGAGGAAUGCUGAGUAAGUUUUGAGUGUGGAACAAUACAAAUUUAGCUCAGAACACUUUUCUCUCUAGUUUUUGAUAGUUUUAAAGAAUUUUAGAGAUUUAAUUUGGAGAUUUUGGAAGUGGGUUUCAAAUAUUCUACAAAUUGAAGUCAUUGUAAAGACUAAAUCACUCUUACCCAGUUGAUGGAUAAUCGAUUUUUACCUUUUUAUGAUGCUUGGCUAAAACCCUAAUUCUUAGGGUGUGAUCAUGUGAUUAUGGAUAUUGUUAAUUACUAGUUUAGCUGCUAUUUUUAAGUGAGUUUAAUCAUUAAUUGUGGUUUAAUUUAUAAAUUGUAGUUGCAAAUGCAGUUCUAAUUUUGUGUUCUUGGCCUGCUCAAGAGAGAGGUUCUAGAACUAAGAUUAUUGAUUAAUAAUUUGUGGGCAUUGGGUUGAGCUGGAUUUAGCUCGAGAGAGUAAAUCCUAUAUCCAAUUCUACCCAUCUAGUUCGAAAGAGUGGAUGAAUUAAGGUGUGGGUUGUUCUUCAUUGUCAUGCUUGUUGAUGUUUGAAAUAAAUCACAUGCUUCGGGCUAGAUGUUCGAGAGAAAGCUAUCACCCUUAUAGUCUAGCCUACUCACUGAUUUUUAGUUGUUUACUAGUAGUUUUAACUACCCAUAUAUCGUAAUUUUCCUAUAAUCGAUCACAUCCCAAGAAUCCCUCUCCCUAUUGUUAUUUUGAAGUUUUUGUGACUGUUGUGUAGUUGAUAAUUGCAAACUCAAAACCCCCCAUCUGACACCCGUGUCACCCCUUUAGUUUGAUUAAUGUCUUUUUCAAUAAUUUCUAUUCCUAUGACAAAUUAGGCCACAUUCGUACUUCUUGAUUUAAUUUGAAACACGUACCUCUCCCUAUGGGAUUUGACCCCAACUCAAUUGUUGGGUUUUAUACUGAUUUACGAUUGUUGACACCUAGAAUUGGAUGAGUUGUGCUUGAAACGUUAAAUCACAAUGGUGCUGUUGCCGGGGAGUGGUGUUGUUUGAAAUUCUUUUGGUGAAGUUGAAUUGUGUUCUUUUUAGUUAUAGUUGAAUCUACUUAUUUUAGUUUUGGUUUUGUGUUGCUUGUGUUAAAACAGAGGAGGAGAUGAGCGUCAACAGAAGUAAUGGUAGCCAAGUGGGCCACCAAGACGACAUUGGAAACCUCAAUGACCCAAACCAAGUGGGUGGUGUAGGUGCCAUUCGUUUGCCUCUGGCUGAAGGAAACACAAUUUUUCACAUCACAAGCACAAUACUUCAGCUCCUACAAUUGAAAGGAUUGUUUAGGGAGCUGGCUCAUGAGGAUCCCAUGAGCAUAUCAUAAAUUUUGUUGAUGUCUGUGAACCGUUCUCAUUUAAGAACAUAUUGCAAGAAUCGGUCUGUUUGAGGUUGUUCCCAUUUUCUCUUAUGGGCGAGGUAAGCAAGUGGUUUGCGGAGUUGCUAAGAGAUUCUAUCACUUCAUGGGACGAGCUUACUACUGCAUUCCAAGUGCGAUUCUUUCCCCCUUCGAAGAUGAUGACUCUUAGGGACAACAUCCAAGGAUUCAAAUGUUUGGAAGGAGAGCCCAUACAUGAGACGUGACUGAGAUUUAAGAAGUUGGUGCUUCAGUUCCCAACUCAUGGACUUCCAGAUAAUGUGUUGCUGCAAUAUUUCUAUAGAAGUCUCGAUUCAGUAAACAAAUGAGUGGUUGAUCAACUUUCUCCGAGUGGUAUAAUACAACAACACUAUGCAAUAGCGUCCCAAAUCCUUGAUUGCAUGACCAAGAUUAACAGGACAUGGUACACUCGAGAAGACCAAGUCUUUCCUGUUACUUAUAAAAUGACAAAAUAGCAGAUAAAAAAGGAUCAAAAGAGAAACCAAAACAUGGCAAAAAUGAUGACCCAACUGUAUAUCUUGGCUAAAAAUGUCAUGGGUGUUGGUGCAAAGAGUGUAAAUGUUGUGGGUGUUGGUGGUGUGAACCCCGAUGAAGCAAGGUUUGAAGCGCUGUACAAUGAGGAAGUAAACUUUCUAGCCAAUCAAUGAGGAGAUUAUCGUGCUAACUACCCAAGACCGGGUGGUAAUCAAUGAUGGAAUAGAGAUGAGGGCUGGAGAGACCGUGACAGAGAAUGGCAUGAUUGUAAUGCCACUUGGAAAGAAAGAGGGGGAGAAGGAUAUGUAUGUUCCUCUCCAUGAGCGUCAAAAGCCCAAGGACUCUGAAGGUGUCCGAACAAAAAAUAUGCUUUCACGCAUUCUUACCAAAGUUAAAGGGUCCGACAAAGUGUUGAAGGAGAUGAAAGAGGAUGUCUUGACUCUCAAUCAGACGGUGACCUCUCACUCAAUCUCAAUUAACCAGCUGGAGACCUAAAUGGGUCAAAUUUCGUCACAUUUGAAUCCAAGACAACAAGGGGGGUUGCCUAGUGAUACAAUGGCAAACCCUAAAAAUGAAGCUUGAAUGAGUACUUAUGUCUUGCCACGACAUUAACUAAGACGCUUCUUGAGAGGCAACCUAUGGGUGUUGAUUAUGCAGGUUAAAAAGUGAAGAGUGUUUGAAAAUAGGUGGUUUGGCGAGCCAUGAAUCUAGUCGGGUACUGGCCGAAGAGGUCGUCGAGCCCGACUUGGACCGCUGUUGGACUUACAAAACAUGAAGUAGAAGUCUGUAAAACUCAGUGGGCUAAUUGCUGAAUCGCCGACUCGCUGAACAUGUCUGUGAGCCUGAUUUUGUCCACCGUUUGGACCCCUAAAUUGACUGGAGGUCCUGUAAAACUCAGUGAGGUAAGUCACCACUCGACGCAUCGCUGAGUGGUUUAGCAUGGUCAACUAAUACCGCUGAAAGUGCGGCGAACUGAAAGGUUUUAAAAGGCCAAACGAUUGAAAAUUUCAAAAUCUUUCAUAUUCUCUCAUUUCUAACCACGUAAACUCUCACCCGCACUUUAAAUUUUUCGUACUUUGCAAUUUUUAUUCAUUUUUUAUUCUUGAUCUCGUGCUCGGAUUUGGAUUACUUGCCGCCUAGUGUAUCAAAUUCUCAAUUUGGCAUUCAAGUUGGUUUUUCAAACCCCGCACCUUCGAUUAAUGGUUGAUCUUGAAUGCUUUCGAUAAAUAUGUGUUGUUUUGUGUUGGGUAAUUGUUGAAAUCAUGUUUUAUAUGUUGGAUUGCCUAUUUUGUGUUUCGAACUUAUGCCUAAAUGCUUAAAAUGAUGAAUCCCCAUGUUUAAUGCUCUAAAAUUGAUUCUAAAUUGUUAGGUUGCGGUUAAUUUGUAUUGGGUUUAGUGGGGUGAAGUAUGAGUAACCCCGAAUUGAGCCAAAUGACGUAAUUUGCCUAAUGAUGGAGUGUUUGACAUCAUUCUUAAGGGAAAAAGUCGCCAAAUGGCCAAUUUUGGCCAAAUCUGGGGAAGUCUCAGUACCCCGAAGGCAUGGGUCCUAUGGGUCUGGUUUGAAUUGAGUGUUGCUUGUGUUUGAUUUUGAUUUUGGGGGAUGUGGGCUUGAUUUUGGGAAACAGAGUUAAAAAUUGGCACGUUGGGCAGUUUGACGAGUUGGGUCGAGCUCGUCGAACGGUUCGGCGGUUCGCUUAUGUCCCCUUUCGAUCGCCCUUAAUUUCUUGUUUUGGUUGAAUAAAGUCUGUAACUUUCGGCGGGAAGCCUGAGCUUGCCGAGUUCACUUAGUGAUUCACCGAAAGGUUCAUUUGGUAGCCCUUUCUACGCCCCUAACCCCUAAAACGCAUUGUAAUAUUCGGCGGCCUAGUCUGAGCUCACUGAGUGGUGUUGGUGAUUGCCCGAAGGGCCUUGAACAUCACCGACAUGCCUGAUUUCUGGAAAUUUUUCAAGCUGGUCCUUUCAGUGAGUCUGUCUGGCUCGCCUAAGUGACUGCGAUUUGCCGACUGGUUUGGCGAGUCUUUCUACAACUUAAUUUCUGCAACUCUCUUGAAUGACUUGUAACAAUUUUUGAUGUGUUUUGCAGAUAUGGCUAGGACAAAUUGGGAUGAAAGUGGCAUGUGCCCCGCAAACGAGCCCGGGGAAUUUUAAUAAAUGAGGGAGCUACUGUUUCCACCAAAAAGGGUAAGAAAGCACCUUCGAAGGGAGGCAAAGGCAAAGGCAAAACGCCCAUAGCUGAGAGACCGGAGCACAACUCCGACAGUGAUGGGGAAUCUUUUGAUUCUCAGACCUCAUUCUCCGAGCUUGAGGAUGACCAAUUAAUACAGACCUGAUGAGCGAAUAUUCGUGCAAAGGCUCAUCAAGAUCCGCCUAAAAUUUCAGAGUCUACCCCCUUACUGGAGAUAUAGUGUCAGCUCCGGCACAGACAGUGGUUAUAACGCCACCAGUUCAGGGUCUUCCUCUCCAGUUACUCAACAGGUUAAAAGCUAAAGGAUUGAGGACCAUCCUGGAAGAGAAGAGGUUGUCCACGGAUGGUGUAGUGGAUAGGCACCCUAAUGUGUGGGACACUCUCCGGUACCAUAGGUUUGAGAUCUUCACCAGGCCCCGUGGCCCAUGCAUUCCUACAUGGGUCCGGGAGUUUUGUACGACUAAUAGUGAUUUGGUACCCAAGGGAAAGAAGAAGGCAAGUGCCUUCAGACUAGUGGAGUCUGUGGUGGUCCGGGGGAGGACUGUGAGAUGCAACAACGACUAUAUCAAUGUUGUAUUUGAUAGAGUUUCAGAUUUUGACUACCCGAGUUUGGCUACCGCGAAAACUCUGAAUAACCUAAAUGGAUGUCUAGAUCCCCUUAUUUUUGACACCACCCCGAGGUGGAUUGACGCUGGAGUCCCUAUUGAGAAGAAAGACUUGAACAUAGCAGCUCGAUACUGGUUUAGGUUCAUCAGUAGCUCCAUCAUGCCAUCACAGAAUGAGUCUAUUCUCAGCCACCUAAAUACGGCAUGUCUCGGAUCAAUCGUAGCCAGGAGGAGUAUUAACUUGGGGUUAAUUAUAGAGCAGGAGAUGGCCAUGGCCAUGAGGGCCAGAUAUCCCUUCCAUUCCCAGUGUUUUUUACAGAGUUGUGUCGGCGGGCUGGAGUUCCUCUUAACGAGAGGAGGGAUGUUAAUGUUAUACCCACAUCCUCCAUCGACAUUCGGUGCAUAGAGGUCGAGUACACACGGGAUGAGGUGGAUAGGAGGAGAGCAACUCCGGUGGACACAUCUUCGGAGAUUGAUGUUGACUCUAUACCUGCAAAUGCAGUUUUGCCUACUUCGGCCUCUGGGCCUUCAGGUACAUCUACUUCAACUCCUUCCCAGGCCUCAAGUUCUUCUACUUCCUCCCAACCUCCUAGAGCUACUUCAGGUACCACUGCCUCGAAAACUCCGAUCACUCAGGCCAUGCUCCUUAAGAUAGGGCACCUAGCCCAUUUUGCCGAUGUGCAGGCUUCCCGGCUAGAGGCCGAAGUGCCCUGGAUGAUUGAGAGAGCCAUUGCGGCUGCUUUGACACCCCUCCGGACAUCCAUUGAUGCUCUCACGGUGAGAGUAGAGAUUUGUGAGAGAGGACAUGGGGUUACUACUGAGGUUACGGCUUUGAAAGCCGAGGUUUCCGAGUUGAGGAAAGAUGUGGACCAUCUGAAGUCCUUAGACUUCACUUCACUGUUUGAGUUAACAGAGGUUCCUGAUGUUUCGGCUGCAUAUGUCCCGGCCAUUUCAGAGAUGCCUCCGGCUACCACCGAAGAUGAGACUAUGGAGGAUGUGGCUGAUGUUGAGUCAGAGGCAGAGACAGAUGAGGAGCAUCUCGAUGUUCAGGAGGUGACCAUUUAUGGGGACCUGCCUGAUUUAGAGGAGACGAUAGUACAUUCAGUCAUUCAGAUAUCAUUGACAGAUACCUCCAAGGCAGGCUCCAGUGAAGCUAGUGUUGAUAUUGCAUUGGGCACUGAUGCCCAAUCCCAGAGUGUUACCUCGGGCAUUGAUGCCUCGACAGAUGGAGCGACUGAGUAGACAUGAUCAUUCUUUUUACCUUUCUCUCUGUUGUUUUUGUUGGUUACAUUUGAGGACAACUGCUUUUCUUUUGUGGGUAAGGUGAGGUAUUUCCAUACCUACCUCUUGUGAUACAUUUUUGUUUGUAUAUAUUGGGCUUUAUGAUCUAUAUUUGUGUUUUGAUUGUGUUUGAAUCUGAAUCUUGUGGAUGUUUGAGCUUGUGGCUCUUUGUUUUGAAUGGAAAUGGUUUUGACCCUAUUUUUAAAAUUUGUGCCACCUUUAUUGUUGUGAUUGUGGCUGUUCUUAUGCAAAUUUGAGUUUCGGUUAUGAUCAAUACCGAUGACUAGAAUAAUGCUCUUAAUCGAACGAAAUGAAUGUGCGGCUACGAUGAGGCCAAUGAAGUUGCAUAGACAAUGUGUGAACUUUUAGCAUGUCGUUGUGACUACCCGGUUAUCGAAUGAGUCUUUUGUGAUGAACAUUGCACACUAGCUAGAAAGUCUGAAGUCUUGUUUGAUAUUGGUGUCAAUGUCUUGUGUGAUGAGAUUGUAACAGCCUGUAUUAUGCAUAUGCUUAUUCUAUUCUUGUGAUACUUGACAUAGCCUUAUAGUAUAGGUGAGGGACCAUGUUUCGUAUAUGAUUAGCGUUGGUUUAAACUAGCUCGGAAGGUGAUGUGAUGCCUUGCACGUUGCAGCAUGUGUACUACAAGUUAUAACUCCCUUAUAAAUCACCUGCUUCGGGCUAGUUGUUCGAGAGAAAUCUAUCUCCCUUAUAGUCUAGCCUACUCACUAAUUUUUAGUUGUUUACUAGUAGUUUCAAUUACCCAUAUAUCGUAAUUUUCCUAUAAUCGAUCGCAUCCCGAGAAUCCCUCUCCUUAUUGUUAUUUCAAAGUUUUCGUGACUACUGUGUAGUUGAUAGUUGCAAACUCAAAACCACUCAAAACCCUCCAUCUAACACUCGUGUCUCCCCUUUAAUUUGAUUAAUGUCUUUUUCAAUAAUUUCUAUUCCUAUGACUGAUUAGACCACAUUCGUACUUCUUUAUUGAAUUUGAAAUACGUACUGCUCCUUGUGGGAUUCGACCCCAACUCAAUUGUUGGGUUUUAUACUGAUUUACGAUCGUUGACACCUAGAGUUGGAUGAGGUGUGCUUGAAACGUUAAAUCAAGAAUUCUUGUUGGUAAAGGAUAACUUUAAUUAUUAUUAUUAUCAUUAUUUAUUUAUUUUAAAUGACUAUUAACUUCUUUAUAUUCGACAAAGUCAUUCUAAUUUAUAUCUCGUAGAAAUUAGGCUAUAUCUUUUACUUCCCUUUCUUCACCAUAUAUGUUCGACUCUUAUGAACAAAAAAAACUUAUUGUUUCUUCUCUACGUUCAAACAACCAAUUUAUAACAAUAAAUUUGAUUCUCCAAUUUUUUUUGAAGGAGUGUUAGAUCUACUAUUAGAUACUAAAACUUUCAAAUAGCAAACAAGUGAGUUCAAGCUGUGAACAAUUAUAUUAUUUAAAUAUAAAACAAUUAACCUUGGCUUUGAUAUCAUUGUAAGAUUAUCGUAACAGGAACGAGAAUGUGUAUCUGUUAACAACAACAUAAUGAUAAUGAAGUCUUGUGAAAGGUUGCUCCAAGGUCCAACUUUGAGUCACAAGGAAUCAAAGCUAUGUUUCCACAAACUAAAUUUCACUUUUGUUUUGUUAAUAUCACUGAAGAAGAUAUAAAUUUCUUUUUUGUUUCUCCCUUUGUUUGUCUGUUUUUGUGUUCCUCACUCUCAUUUUCUGAAAAGCAUUCAACACCCAUUUAAAAAGGGAAAAUCAGUAUACGUUGGAUUACAAAGUAACUGUUCCCACCCCUUUUUCAAAUUGGUACUUAUCUCUUUUUUCGAAAAAAAACUUUGGGUCAGGUCAUAUUGGGUCGGGUCGAUCCACAUGGACGACCCACAAUCCAAAACUUACAACAUUUAUGUGUUGUGAUUAACAAUAUUUAGUUUUAAGAAUAAAUAAUUUUCAGGGUAAAAUGAGAAAAUUUUAAUUAAUUCUAUUUUGAUUUUAUAUGUAAAUUUACAAGUAUUUUUAGUAACAUUGACAAGUAAUAUAUGAGACAUAAGAAGUAUUAGCAUUUAAAAUUAAAGUUGGAAAAAAUGUAUUUAAAAAUUAAAAUUACAUGUAGACAUAAAUAUCAUUUGAAAAAAGAAGAAGAAACAAAACGCUAAAGUUUCGUGAGUAGGAACAAAUCUUCAGUUGAAAAUUUGAUUGAAAUUGAAAACAUCUUCUUAAUAACUACACCAAAAAAUCACUUUAAGACAUAACAAAAUAUUUUUUUUGAAAGUAGUUUUUUCGAUAAAAAAGAAGGAAUAAUUAUGCCCUGUUUUGAAAUAACUAGCUAACGAACUAAUAUUAAUAAACUAAAUUGAAAAGAAGAACACACAAAGAGAGAGGGCAAUCUAUUACAAUCUCUAUAUAUCUUGAUUUGUGAAUCUUAAUGGCUAUUUAUAGCCAAUAAGUAAUAUACAAACCAACACUUGGCCAAUAAGAAGUUAUCCAUUUGGCCAAGUGAUGACACUUCUCAAAUGGGUGGCCCCACAUGACAUCCAUUUAGCAUGACAAGUGAUGACAAUUAAAUGGGUGGCCUCACAUGGCAUCCACCUUAGUUUUGCAACACUUUCCCUUGGAUGUCCAUGUAAAAGAAAAGUUGAAGGAACAAAAAUAUACGUAGACAUUUAUAAUACGCAUUACUUGCUGUCUCAUUAAAAAUCUUUCUAGAAAAACCAAGUGGGACAAAACCUAGACUAAGGAAAAAAGAGUGCAGCGCGUAUUUUACUCCCCCUAAUAAAGACCACGAUUUAGAUGCUAAAGUUUUCGCAUUCCAAUCUUGUGUACCAUGCAUCUUCUCAAGAGUUGAGGCUGGUAAAGAUUUGGUGAAUAAAUCUGCCGGAUUAUCACUUGAAUGAAUUUGUUGUAUAUCAAUAUCACCAUUCUUCUGAAGAUCAUGUGUGAAAAAUAAUUUUGGUGAAAUGUGUUUCGUUCUAUCUCUUUUUUAUAAAGCUUCUUCUUAGUUGAGCUAUGCAUGCAACAUUGUCUUCAAAGAGCACUAUGGAUACCUUGACAUCACACUUCAAACCACAUUUUUCUUUGAUGAAAUGUAUCACUUAUCUCAACCAUACACAUUCUCUACUUGCUUUGUGAAUAACUAUUAUCUCAGCAUGAUUUGAAGAAGUAGCGACAAUGGACUGCUUCGUAGAUUGCCAUGAUAUAGAAGUACCUUCGUAUGUAAACAAAUAGCCUAUUUGAGAUCGAGCUUUAUGUGGGUCAGAUAAUAACCUGCAUCUGCACGACCAACAAGAUAUGUACUAUCUUUAUUAGUAUAAAAUAGAUCUGUAUCACUAGUCCACUUUAGAUAUCGCAAUAUAUGUUUAAUUCCAUUCAAAUGUCUUCGUGUAGGGAAAGACCUAUAUGUUGCUAACAAAUUAACAUAAAAUUCUAUGCUAGAUCUCGUAGCAUUAGCAAGAUACCUAAGUGCACCAAUUGCACUAAGAUAAGGUACUUCAGGACCAAGAGGUUCCUCAUUCUCUACUUGAGGUUGGAAUAAUCUUUACUCACUUCAAUUGAUCGAGCAACCAUGGGAGUACUGAAUGGAUGUGAUUUGUCCAUGUAAAAUUGUUUCAAAAUUUUCUCAGUAUAUGCAGAUUGAUGGAUGAAGAACCCGUCUACUAAAUGUUCAAUUUGUACACCAAGACAAAGUUUUGUCUUUCCAAGGUCUUUCAUCUCAAAUUAUUUUAAAUAUUCAAUUGCCUUUUGAACCUCUUCAAGGGUUCCAUUGAGAUUUAUAUCAUUAACAUAAACGACAAGAAUAACAAAUCCUGAUAUUGUUUUCUUAAUAAAAAUUCAAGGAAAUAUUGCAUCAUUUAUAUAAUUACUUUUAUCAAGUACUCACUGAGGAGAUUAUACCACAUGCGCCCUGAUUGUUUUAAGCCGUAUAAUGACUUUUGUAAUAUGAUUGAUCACAUUUCCCGAGAUUUUGAACUAUAUGCUUCAGGCAUUUUAAGUCCUUCCAGAAUUUUCAUAUAAAUUUCAUUAUCAAGUGAACCGUAAAGAUAAGCUGUAACCACAUCCAUUAGAUGUAUUUCAAGAUUUUCAUGUGCAGCUAAACUGAUGAGAUAUCAAAAAGUCAUUGCAUCCUUAACUGGUAAAUAUGUUUCUUCAUAGUCGAUAUCGGGUCUUUGAGAGAGUCCUUGUGCAACAAAGCAUGCUAAGUAUCUUACAAUUUCAUUUCUCUUAUUUCUUUUUUGUACAAAGACCCAUUUAUAGCCAACUGAUUUAACAUCAUUAGGUGUUUGGAAUACUGGUCCAACAACCUCAUGUUUAGCAAGUGAAUUCAAAUUUGAUUGAAUUGCCUCUUGCCAUUUUGCCAAUCACAUCUUCGGCGACGUUCUUCGACAGACAGAGGUUCAAGAUCUUCACAGUCUUGCAUAAUAUUAAGUGCAACGUUAUAAGCAAAAACAUUAUCCACCAUAAUUUUUGAUCGAUUCAACUUUAUCCCAUUAUCCGAAGAACUUAUUGAUAGUUCUUCAUUCACUUGAGUCUCGGCGUCAUUGAUUUCUUCAAAAAUAUCAUGACUAAUCAGAUCUUGAAUCUCUUCGUGGGAUUCUUUUAUACUGUCAUUUUUUGUACUUCUUUUUCUAGGAUUUUUAUCCUUUGAACCCAAUGGUCUGCCACGCUUCAAGCAUGUAUGAGAUUUAGAAGAUAUGACACUAUUAGAUGGUCCUGUUGGAAUAUGAUAUGCGACUUAGUUAUCCUUUUCAAAUCAGUAAAUGCAUCUGGCAUUUGAUUUGUUAUAUUCUGCAAAUGGAUGAUCUUUUGGAUCUCCUGUUCACACAUUGGGGAACAUGGAUCAAAAUGAGAUAAUGAUGAAACUUUUUAUGCAAUUUCACUUUUAAGUUCCUUUUUCUCUCCCCCUAAUUCUGGAAACUUUGUUUCAUCAAAUCGACAAUCUACAAAUCUUGUAGUGAAUAAAUCUCCCAUUAUUGGCUCAAGGUAGCAAAUUUUGGAGGGUGAAUCAAACCCAAAAUAUAUUCCUAAACUUCUUUGGAGGCUCAUCUUAGUGCGUUGAGGUGGUGCUACUGACAUAUACAACAUAUUCAAAAAUUCGUAGAUGAGCAAUAUUUUGUUCAUGACCAAACACCAAUUGUGAUGGAGAGUAUUUAUUUAAUGAGUUAGUUUCUGAGAUUGGUAUGCUCUAAAUUAGUAAAAGAAACCCUCGGGUCUUGUUUUGUCUUUACUGACGCCAAGCUACCUCGCCUUUUGUUGGUGAAGUGAAUGAAAUCGUUAGAUUCCCGUUUGGGAUCAAAGACGAACAAGUGAUGUUGCAUGUAAGAUAGCAUGACCUCAAAUGGUAGUGGACAACUUAGUUUUCAUAAGUUGUGGUCUUGCUAAUCAAUUGUUGGCGCUUAAUAAAUGACUCUGCAAGGCUAUUUUGAGUAUGAACAUGAUGUUCAAUUCUUAUCCCAAUUGAUAAGCAAUAAUAAUCAAAAGCUUGGGGUGCAAAUUCUUUAGCAUUAUCAAGGCGAAUGGCCUUAAUAGGAUAAUCUGAAAAUUGCACCUGUAGUUUUAUUAUUUGUGCCAAUAACUUUGUAAAUGCCAGGUUACGAGAUGAUAAAAGGCACACAUGAGACCAUCUUGAAGAUGCAUCUAUUAGGAUCAUAAAAGGGUAAAUCACUUAGAUAUGCUAUAUUGAGAAAAUAUUUACCAUUUAUGACUAAUAAUUUCUUUUAACUAAAUCUAUCAGUUCAUGGAAUUAAAAUUGUACAACUUCGGACCUAUGUUCUUUCCUAUUUAUUCGUCUCUUUCUCUACAUAUGAUUUCUCCUUUUUUUUCUUCUUCUUCUUCUUCAAAUUUUUAAUUCAAAUAACUAUCUUUAAAUAUUCAUCUCUUCAAAUCGAUUUAUACCCAUGUUGCACGAUUUACAUCGAAAAUAUCACGAGGAGAAGAAUACAAAGAACCAAAAAUUGUACAAAAUCGUGUGUGCAAAUUGGGAUUUUAAAUCUCUAAAAUUGCAGCAGCAAGCNNNNNNNNNNNNNNNNNNNNNNNNNNNNNNNNNNNNNNNNNNNNNNNNNNNNNNNNNNNNNNNNNNNNUCUUGCAACUGUAUUAAAGUUGAAUUAGAUCUAUUUCAUAAUUGUAUUAAAAUUGAAUUAAAAUCAUGAACAAUAUAUUUAUAAUACAUAUUUCAAAUAUAUCAUCUUCUUAUAUAAUUCAAAAUAAUUUAUAAGAUACAUAUAAUACAUGUUUUAUUCACGAAUAAUGAUAUAUGUUCAAUUCAGUUUAUAGAUCAUUGUCUUGUCUUUCGUUAGUUACGUUUUCCAUUCAUUCUUAAUUCUCUCUUCUUAUUCAACUUUAAUACUGUGUAAUACAAUUUUAAUGCAAAUUUAAUUCAUUUUGCAGUUUUUUGAUUUAUUUGUUACUAUUGGAUACUUGUUUAAUUCAUUAUUGAUACAAGUUUAAUUAACUCUAGAGAUCAUUGUCUUGUCUUUUGUUAGUUACGUUUUCCAUUCAUUCUUAAUUCUCUCUUCUUAUUCAACUUUAAUACUAUGUAAUACAAUUUUAAUGCAAAUUUAAUUCAUUUCACAGUUUAUUUAUUUGUUUGGUACUAUUUGAUACUUCUUUAAUUCUUUAUUGAUACAAGUUUAAUUAACUCUAGAGAUCAUUGUCUUGUCUUUUGUUAGUUACGUUUUCCAUUCAUUCUUAAUUCUCUCUUCUUAUUCAACUUUAAUACUGUGUAAUACAAUUUUAAUGCAAAUUUAAUUCAUUUUGCAGUUUUUUGAUUUAUUUGUUACUAUUGGAUACUUGUUUAAUUCAUUAUUGAUACAAGUUUAAUUUACUAAAUAGGUCAAUGUCUGGUCUUUCAUUAGUUACAUGUUUUUAUUCAUGCUUAAUUCUCUCUUCUAACUCAACUUUAAUAUUUGUGUAAUACACUUUUAAAAACAAGUUUAAUUCAUUUUGCAAUUAAUUGGUUGAUUUGUUACGAUUGGAUUACUUGUUUAAUUCAUUAUUGAUACAAGUUUUUUCAAUUUAUAUGCAGAUCAAAGAAUGCUCUUUUGUUUGCUACAUUUUGCAUUCAUGUUUGAUUCUCUUAUAAUAAUUCAACUUUAAUAUGUUUGUAAUACAUUUUUAAUUCAAGUUUAAUUCAUUUUGCAGUUUCUUAUGUCUCUUUAUUUGUUACGAUUAAAUUACUUGUCUAAUUAAUUAUUGAUACAAGUUUUAUUCAGUCUAAAAUCAUUUACUACUCUCCAAAAAAAAAAGGAAAAAGAGCAAUAGUAAGAAAGGGAUAAAGUGCAACAAAAAAGAAAGGAAGGGAGAAUGAAUAACAGAAAGAAAAAAAAGAAAGAAAGAAAGGAAGGAAGGGAGAAAGAGCGAGACAGAGAAAAGAGAGAAAUUAAAGAAGUUGUUAUAAAUGGUAAUAAAUAAAGAGUAUGUUUAAAAUAAGUAAUUAUUUUUUAAAAGGAAUCCACUCAAGUAAUUAAUCCAU
rnacentral:lncRNA from 1 species